rnacentral:lncRNA from 1 species
UUUUUUUUUUUUGUCAAACGAUAGAUUUGUUAGAUUAGAUGUUAGAGCCAACAGAGUCCGAACCCACGCCGUGGUGCAAGGACAACAAUCCUCUCCCUCACUGUCUAUUAUUUUGUUAUAUCUCCUAUGUGAAACUCUGCCAAAUGUGAUUGCAUAAGGAGUAUUAGUAUUGAUGGGAAAUUCUAAGGUCUGAUUUCCGGACCAUCUCACCCCUACAUAUCCAGACACAAAAAAUCAUUCCCUACCCCACCUCCCUAAUUUGUCAUGCUAUCCUGACCACUUUUGAUCGCCUUCCCCAACACCACCCGGAUUGGAGGUGUCGUACCCAAGAACCUCUCGUAGCUGAUGUGCUACGAGAGGUGGAUGAGUGCGGGACCCAUUGUGAGACCCACAUUGAUCAAGGUGUCAAAAUGCGUUAAGUGUGUGACAUGCGUCACUAAUGCUAGCACUUCUCAUCACCAAAUAAAGAUAAAACAUGAGUUCGACCACGCCAUUCAUAGAGGUUUUUUUACAAAAACAUAGGACUCCGUGUAUUUUGAUCUCACCCGACUCUGCCAAGCUCAAUUACUCUCUACUUGGAUAUCCCCAUCUUAUAAACAACCAAAGGAAAAUAUUGAUACAGUAUUCUUUACAAACAGAAGGCACAAAGCGGCUUAAGGCCGCACUUUCAACAAAAACCAACAAGGAGUUAAUAAAUCCCUCAAGAUUAUUUCCCACAACAGACUAAGGCAAGUUCCUCCUAUACAUGUCUGCCUAUAGACUAUCCAAAAACUGCUUCAAACAUCACAGCGAAAUAUCAUCGCCGUUAACACAACAAUCCUCGGAAUACCUUUGUUCAAGGAUAAAUACAGGAUCGAUCAAGCAGCGCUCAAGCAGUUCUCCCAUGUCCCGUACUUUGAGCUGAAACUUCCUCCACCGCUCUGCUGCGCAUGCUCAGAAAUAACUGCGUGUGCACAAACAUCCCAAGUCCUUGCUAUCUCCCCAAGGGACAUGGGUUGUGAAAUGCUUCGUAGAGAUAUGCUAAACAUCGAUUUGGCCUUCACAGAAAGAUCUUCAUACUCUUUACUGUAAAAGUAGAACAUUUACAGUCAAAUUUAGGCUUUUAAAUUUAACAUGUGAAACCAAAAUGAGUACAUAAAACUCUUAAGAGACCGAAAAAAUAAUUGAGACAUUCUGUCUUAUCGUCAUGGCACCACAUACUUUUAGUGAGACAAGAUAUAAAUUGAAUUGGGAAACAGAGCAUGCAUCUAAUGAGCUUUUUUUUCAUCGAGAAAAGAUAACAUUUGAAAUAGGAUUUCACCAGAAGGUGGUAAAAGAAAAAGGGCACAAGCCCGUACAGCUGAGAAUGCGCAGUAGGAAAUGCCAGGUCUCUUAGUUUAUGUAACAGCAGCAACAUCUAAAGUCAGAAUCCUUAUUUUCUCACCUGACUUCGACUGGAAACUUGUCCAAGAGUAUUGGAGAGCAGUUGGGGUAAUUUGUGGGAACAAGCAGUCUUAAUGGCUGAAUUGGUGACUGCAAAAUAUUAAAAGCCAAGUAAAUACAAUACAUUUAAUAUUUUGAAGAAAUGUAAAAUAUUCAUGGCAUUAACAUUUGAGAGCCCACCAUUUGUGCUGAAGCAUACUGUGAUUUCAAGCUUGGACUGAGAGCCACAGCAUCAAAAGAGCACUUGACAAGAGUCCCCUCACCCCCUUCAGCAGCGGCUGCACUAGGGUCAACAUCUUCAUCACUGAUAUCAACAACUGUGUCGAUAAGCAGCCGAUUUAUUUCUCUUAUUUCUUCCAGAAGAGCAUGAUUAGCCUGCAAGACAAGCCACACACUUAUGUCCAAGGAAGAAGCAGGAACAGCCCAUUUUUUGUCAGACAUUGAAAAGCUCCGAGAAAGGAAUUCUUUAAAUAAGCAACGUUGAGUCCAGAUCAGCAAUGGACAGACAUAGUGACAUGCACACACCCCAAAAAAAUAAUCGUUCAACAAAAGUUAGCAUCUUGAACAGUUAACUCGCACACAGGCAAAUGCAACUCAGAAUGUACCAAUUGCCAAAGCACUCCAGUCACAUCAAGUGUAUGCAUAGGUGCACAGCAAAACAACUAGCUUUGAAGUCUUGCUGGAAAUAUACAUUUUUAAUGUGAAACUUUAAUUAUUUUAAGUUUGCCCGAAGUUAAAGCAGAUGUAAUUUCUAGUGAGUAUAAAAAAAAUGAUUAAUACCUCAACCCUAGGCCUCUUAAUACGAGAUGUUGCAGUUGACUCCAGGUCAGAUGUCUCUGAAUUGAUCAACUGCUUGAAACUAUCAUUCAUACUGCCAGCUGAAGACACAACAUUUAAGGGCAUGGCACUAGUGUAGCGCCUCAUCUUCCUAGUCCCAUUUGAUCCAUCAUGAGUCAUAACGUUUCUUGCUUGCAGACGACACUUUGUCAUCGCAACCAAAUCCUCACCGACUGCCGCUCUAGAUCCAUUACCUGGGGCAGACCCUGCUAUCCUAUCAAUCAUACUAACAACUGAACCAAUGUCACUAACAGAUGCACUCAAUGCAUGAGGUGACAUCGAUUUCACCUGCAAGUUCAAAAUACAGAAAUUUAAUUUAAGCACAAGUGAGGGAAGGAAAAGACUAACUUAGAUGGUAAGCACUGAAACAUCAUUACAGUACUCAAAAAGAGAAAUAUGUAAUAAGAACCACUUUACUAACCGCCUUAAUCAAGCGUUCAAGAGGCUGCUCGGUAACACUCGACUUGCCAGAAAUAGUUGACAAAGCAUUAACAUGACUAGCAUCUGGUACACUAAAUUCAGCAAGCAAAGGAGAUGCCGAUAUCCCAGGGGUGCCAAUUGCAAGGGACUGGACUGGUGCUCCCACCCCAGCUGUUUGUUGAUGUCCGAUAUUCCCAGCAUUUGGUAGUGAGGAAGGUUUCUCAGAAUCCCCUGGCAUGGGGGAUGGAGCCAUGGGAGUUGAAGGAGAUGGGAUGACAAAAGGUGAACCGGCAGUUUGCAAUGGUGUUCCAGCUUUUGGGUGAGUCAGUAGAUUCUGCUGGUCAACUUGGGGAGAAGAAUGUUGUGAAAUUUGAGGAGAUGCAGCCUGAAGGAGUUGGUUUGAUGAUGGAAUAGGAAAUGGAGAUCCUGAUUUCAACUGCUGAUGCGGAUAAGCACGCUGGCCUGCGGAUAUAUGUUGCUGAAAAACCCCUGGCUUAACACCCAUCCCCUGUCUCAUCUUCAAGUCAUUUGCAUCAUUCAUUUGAUGAAGUUGCGGCAUUUGGUGUUGGUUCGCCUGCAUCUGCGCCGGAAGCUGCUGCUUUGCUUGCUGCAACUGUUGCUGCUGCUGCUGCUGUUGCUGUUGCUGUUGCAGCUGCUUCUGUAUCAGUUGCUGCUGCAUUCGCUGUUGAUACUGUUGCUUCAGUUGAUUCUGAAGCAUUUGCUGUUCCUGCUGUUUUAAUUGCUGGUGUUGAAGCAUACCAGAAUUUGACUGAAGGGAGUUAAUAUUUGGCUGAAGCAUGCUAACCCCGCUCUGUGAUGACAAACCAUUCAUGUUAGCUUGCUGGGGAGCACUGACAGGAGUUUGUUGGAUAGAUCCCACCGGAACUUGCUGCAAAGAGUUCAGUGCAUUUCCCUGUCCUGAAUCCAAAUUUGUACUCGGCUGCAAUGAAUUCAUCAUGUUCUGCUGUGAUGUUGAAAGCCCAGAUAUUGAAGACAUUGAAUUUUGCUGCAAACUUGUCAUAUUGUUCUGCUGCAUUGUUGGCACAGAACCUUGUAAAUUCAUUGUUUGCAACUGCGGGUUCAUUUGAUUUUCAUGAGACUGCACUUGAGGAAUUUGAGACUGUGGCUGCUGCAUGGAGUGCAUAUGAGGUGGGGGGAGCUGCCCUUGUUGCAGAGGAGGACCUUGCUUCCUCGGUCUAUUUGUAUUAAUAAAAUUUACUAUCUGCUUCUCAUAUAAACCCAACUUGUCUUUCAAACCAGGUGAAAUGUUACUCUUGGAAACCUGUAAAAUUGAUAUGAGGCGCUCUAACAUGGUUCUGAACAUUUUUAGCUUCUCAAGCUGCUCUGACUUUGGUUGUUGUGGAAGAGAAUCGUGCUGGCAAACAGAAAGAACAGACGUCAGUAAGCAAAAGAAUGGCAAUAUAAGGAGUAACAACUUUGUUGCGAAAUCUUAUUAGCAUUAUUGGUGAGGUAACAAUCCCAUGUAGAUGGUCUACAUGAGGACAAUAAUUAAAGGGGAGAUCAAGGUAGAAUCUAUCAAAGAGCAGCACCACAAUAACCUAGCAGGGAAACCCUGCUUAUUACUAUAAGUUCAAGCAACAAAUUAUGAGAGAAGAAAAUUUGAAUUGAUUACAUACCUGCUGGAGUUUAGUAGCAAUUUUAUGAUACAUUUCACUUAGUUCGGGUAAGUACUUUUCCUUCAUGACUUUGAUCUGCAAAUGAAAGUUAUAAACACAAAGAUGAUUAGAAAGAACUUUGCUGCAGCUACAUGCUUGCCGACACCAUCAUAACAUCAAUGCCAAUGGAAAUGAGCCUGUGCGUGCAACCAUGAAUUCAGACAGCAUGAAUUCAUGUAUGCUUGUAUCUAAUGAAGCAAGUUUUCAUAAACUUCCAACCGAUGGUAGCUUAACAAAGCUGCCCCACAAGGAGUCUUAACUAGCAUGUAAUUCUUCAAAAUCCCCAUUCAAGGCAAUUUUGGCAUUAGUAUAAUUAUUUUCCAGUAGCUCUAUUCCCACCCCCACGCCAAAUAAUUUGUAAUUUUAUAUUUAGAUGUUGUAUGUGAAAGCCAUCAAAUGGACAAGAAGUCAGGACAUUUUACUUUUUGAUAGACAUCCUCUUGCCAAUCACCCCCAUUUGCAUGUCCAGUCUGAGCUGAGGAAUCUAGAGAAGCUACAAAAUAUAGAGAGAUAUAUGUCAAUGUUUGCACAUAAAAUGAAAUUUGAACACGAGGGUUAAAAAUGAGAAAGAAACAAAAAAAAAAAAAAAAAGCAUUGCAUGCAGAACAUUGAUAUGGAAAAUUAUCCUUCCCAAACAGUUGAAAUGUAUUUUUUGUACAACAAAAUAUAAAUAUCAUUCCAUACAUCAUAAGCAAUCUAAGAACAGACAAGAAGCUUCAUGAGCCAGUGGAACAGGACCAUGCAUGCACUAGAUUGGGGAAAAUACAUCCAUGGGCAGCCAUAUUUAGUAAACACAGUAGUCCACCGAAAGCUCUUUAUCUAUAAACCAAUAGACGCAAAACUGAAGAAUAAAAAGUAAAAACCCAUGUUUUCAAAACCCAAAGGUAUGAAAGGCAAUUCAGGUGCAAUUUGUUCCUACUUUCUGCUUAUGAGGGCAAUUACUUUUUUAUGGGAAGACUUCAAGGUUUCUAUUUCUUUGUUUAAAAGUAAUUGUGGAGUUAUCAAGAAGAAAUGGGUUAACAUUAUGUCACAACAGCAUCUCUAUCACCAUAGCUCAUGAAAAGACAAAGAUACAAAAACUAAAAUCAAGGCAACAGAAGCUUCAGCCUUCACCAGUAAAUCACUCAAAAGAACUCUGAUUGUAAACAUUAAGCACAAGAGGUGAAAGGUAAACUUACAGUAACUAAAGUGGUCCGUAUACCUAAUUUGAGGUGUAGGCACAAAACUCGUAACUAGGCUAUUUAUAUAUAUAUAUAUAUAUAUAUAUAUAUAUAUAUAUAUAUAUAUAUAUAUAUAUAUAUAUAUAUAUAUAUAUAUAUAUAUAUAUUCUCUUAGUCGGGUUUAAUAACUAUUUCCUUAUCCUUGUGGAUUAUUAUUUGCAAUAAUUAUUUCAUUUCCUUGUGGGAUUUUACUUUUAGAUUAUAUAACCACAUCAAUCUCUAUUACUCAACCCUCCCCUGUGGAUAUUCAGAAUACAAGACUAACUUUGAAUUUAUUUUUCUUUCAGUUUGGGAUUUAGCUUUUUAUCUUCCCUCCCCUGUGCUGCAAUAUACAAGACUAACUCUGUUCCUUUUAUAUAAAUCCAAUUACCAAAUAUAAAUCACAAAAUUUUAUGUACACUACCACUACACAUAUCAACCUCUAAAAAGAAAAGCAAGAAAUCAAGAAAGACCAAGGCUUGCUUUAGCACUAUAGUUUAAUGUGACCAGAUAUUUGCAUAGGACUCUGGUUCUCCAUUCCAUGAUGGUUAGAUGCUGAAGUUCUGGAAAAGAACAGAAAUCCUCAUGUUUGACAGAGAGGUAUGAUGCAUCUGUUUAAAAGUGAUGGUGACAACGAACAUGUGGUGGGAAGAUGGGACACACCUACUUGGCAAGAUAGCCAGGCAUAAAAAUUUCUAUUGACUAAGUCCAAUGCACAUCCAUGUUACAUUUUAAUACAAGAAGUCAUAUAUGGCAAAGAUAAAAUUCCAAAAUUAGACUACUUCCAUAGAGAGUCUAGACACCUACAUCUGGCAACCACAACAAAACAAUAUAUUUACCAAGGUCAUCCAAAAAAAAAGUGUGCCCCAUAAAAACAUAUAAUAAAGACCAUUUUCAUAACAAAAUCAAAUUAAUGACAUAAAAAUGACAGUAUUACCUAUAAUACAAUAUGAUAAACAGACCCAAAUCACAUAAUACAAAAGUAAAAUAAGAAUAAAAUAAGAUUCCGUCCAAAAUGUGCACCUAUGAUAAUCCAGAUAUCAUGAAAGCACAUGCAUAAAAUCAGGAAAGUGCAUAAGUGCAAAAAUCGUACUCGAUGAUGUCUCAGCAAGAGGUCUCUGAGAUUGAUAUAACUGCUUUUGCUGAUCCAUUACAUUUUGAGCUUGAAGCAUGGUUCCUGAUAUCUGACCUGAUGCUUGAAGCCUUUGCUGCAUAUCUCGUUGCAGUGGAUUUGACUGCUGUUGCAAACCCAUUUGUUGCAUCUGUGCAGGCUGUGAUUGAAUCUGUGACAUCAUUUGUUGCUGUGAUGCUUGCGGUUGUGACUGCUGUCCUUGAGUCGGUAACAUGUUAGAUGCAUUCGGAUGUUGUUGCUGCUGCACCUGAACCUUGGAUUGUUGCAACAAGUGUACAGAGUGCUGAUUUGGUUGCAUACUAGAAUUACCACUUUGAGUUCCAAGGUGCUGCUGUUGCUGUAAUCCGGUAACAUUACUCUGAGAGCCCAACUGUUGCUGAUGCAUAUUUGAAAGGUUGCUUUGCUGCUGUUGCUGUAACCCAGUAACAUUACUCUGCGGGCCCAAUUGUUGCUGAUGGAUAUUAGAAAGGUUGCUUUGCUGAGCCAUUAACUGCUGCUGCUGCUGUUGUUGUUGCUGUUGCUGCUGCUGCUGCUGUUGAUGUUGCUGUUGCUGUUGUUGCAGGUUUAAAACAUUAUUCUGCUGGUUUAGUAACCUCUGUUGUUGCUGCUGCUGCAUAUCCCCGACAUUAGUUUGUUGUCCAAUCAUCUGAUUCUGGGACAAGUUUGAAGCAGUUGGCUGUUGCACCAUAAGCUGCGGCUGCUGCUGCUGCGGGGUUAAUAUUGGCUGUUGUGCCAUUGGUGUUUGCUGUUGAUGAACAGCUACCUGUUGAGGCUGCUGUUGCUGCCUGAGAACUGGCUGUGAAUGCUGCGGAAGCAUGGGUUGUGAUGACUGUUGCAUAGCAGAUUGUUGAUUCUGCUGGAGAGAUGAUUGCACUGAAGGCUGCAUAACAGACGAUGUUGGCAUAACAGAUUGCUGGGAAGAUUGCAACUGAGUCGGUUGUAAAAGGUUCUGCUGCUGUUGCUGUUGCUGUUGCACAAGUUGUGGCAUAUUUCCCUGCUGAUAUUUUGGCUUCAAAAGCGAAUGUUGCAUCUGUUGAUGGUACAUAUACUGCUGGGAAUUCUGGGAAUUCUGGGAUUGCUGCGGCUGCUGCUGUUGGGGAGCUACCUGUUGCCUUCCUGGCAUUUGCCUUUGAGAAUUAGCAAAGACAUUGGAGGGUACCCCCUGGCCCAUGGAAUUCCCUAAUGAAUUCUGUGAACUUCCAGACAUAUUUUGCAUGUUUGGGUUUUGUCCACCUAUACUUGGGAUAGGAGUCUGGGUUAAACCGGAAGAAGGAGGUAGUGCAGAUGAUAAGCCAGACGAACUUUGAACUCCAGCAGGUGGAAUGUUAUUCUGAAUGCUCUGUGAUAAAAGUGGUUGGCGUCCUUGAGAUUGAUUAGCUGGUAACGGCAUAGAGAGUGAUUGCCCAUGAUUGGGGACUUGGGAUUGCAUACCUUGAUUGGGAACUUGGGGUUGCAUACCAAAAGACCCUAUCCAAGUAAAAUAGCAAGAAUAAACACCACAUAAACAAGCAUCAAAACAAGAAUACAAUAAAUGUCAUUUGUACUCAUCAUUUGACCCAUUAAAUACAAGUGAAUAAAGAUAUCAAGAACGAAUCAUCUCAGUUAAGAAAUGCAGGAAUAAUUAACAAAAAGAAAGAACGUUUCAUUAGUUGUUUUUACCCGGAUCAGGGGGCCUGUUGCUGUUACCCGCAGAGUUAGAUUGUAAAGGAUUGGCCAUUGAAUUCUGAGACUUUGUCUCCAUUGUGAGCAUCUUCAGAGAAAUUUUCCGUAGAUAAUCCGACUACAAAAAUAAAAAAAUCCAUGCUAAAUUUAGAAUACAGUUCUAUCCAAAAUAUGAAGAAAGUUCAAGCAUAGACAACAUAUUUUUAAGAAGUCAUAUAUGUAAUAGAUAGGUAAGUAUUUAAGUACGCAAACAUUUCAUGCACCAUAAGAAAUAAGAACUCUGGUAUUAUGGAAGCACCUGGCUUGUGGCUGCAGUAUAAAUCUUUUCCUCAAACCUUACAGCAAUUUUACUGAGUUCCUGUAAUCCAUCUUGUCCGGAGAAGGGAAGAUGCCUCUUCAACGUAUCCAUUCUAUACAUGCAAUAAAACCAACAUCAGUUACUGACUACCAAAAUGGGGGUAGCGUUCAUAAUAGCAAAGCUGGAUUAGACUACCGCUUGAAACAAAAAAAGUUCAACAAAGAAAAACACUUACAUCUUGUUGACAAUUCUUUGCCUCGAAUCAGCCUGCAGCUGACUCCUCCAAUCGCCGGCAUCCAUGGCAGCCUCUCCAACUUGAGAAGGCCUCCACUUAUUGGUAUCCAUCAAAUCCAAUCAACCCAACAAAACUGCCAAAAACAAAAGUACAGGACUGAGCAACUUCAACGAAAGCCUACGAAAAGGGCACAAAAAAUUCGUACAAGAGCUAGCUAUUCGGACAACGAUACAGUUUACAAUUACGCAGGCAUUUUUUUUGCAUCAGAAAUUGCAUUCAUUCAAGCUGAUUCUAAACACGAUUUAGGCGCCAUGAAAAAUCAGAACUUGCAAUUCAUACAACCGAAAACCAGAUACGAUUUACACAAUCAGAUCACAAAAACACCAACAAUAACGAAUUUUCCACAAAACCCACGAUCGAUCAACAUCUAAAACAAAAAACCCAACAAAAAUUGACCAAAAAGUUACCUCUUUUCUUUCAGAACAGGAGAGUUGAAGAUUUAAAGGUUCAGGUUGCCUGGAGUCAAACAAUGGAGAAAUCGCAGAACAGGGAAAUCGGGGGAUUGGGAAAGGAAGGAGGGUUCUUGCUCAAAAGCUUCAAACUUUGACAAGAUUUAAUGGAUUGAUGCGUUAGUAGUAGGAAGGGAGAGACAACGAAAUAUCCUGUUUUAACCAAUGUCUGAUUUUUUUUUUAGGUUUUUUUUUUUAAAUUUGAAUUUUUUAGGGACAAAAAGACAAUAAAACCAUUGUCCUUAGGAAUUUAUAAGUUGCCACUUACCACUUUAUCCUAAUCCUAGGCUUUCUUGUCAAAUCCCAAUUGGAUAGGAAUAUUUCCAACUGAGUCAAAAGAACAAAGUAGUCUUAUUUAUAACUAGCUUCUUGGUACGCGUUCAAAUGCGCGAAUUAACUUUUAAACGUCAAUUAAUGUAUUAGCAUUUCAUUAGUUUUAUGUCUUAUAUCAUCACUUUGAAACUUAUUUAUUUGUACACUAAAUAAGAAACUGCUAUAUAUAGUUGGUGUAAUAAGUUUGUGUCUUUAGCAUUAUUGAUGUAAAUAGACUGAUUUUCUUAUAUUUUUUUUAUUUUAAAUUUAUUAGUUAUAUAACUUUACACUUUAUUGCUUUUCAAUGAAGACAGAACAAGGAGGAGAUCAAUUAUUCCUCAAUUAAUCUACUUCAUUAUUCCUCAAUUAAUCUGCUUCUUGACCAUUUUGGUAUUAGAUUCCAUAUAGUAAAGCGUCAUGUAACUUUCAUUUUCAUGUGUUAAUAAAUGUAAGAAUCUAAAUGAUUUUGCAUGUGAUUGGCAUGAAAUCCAAAUGUGCUCUUUAGUUCAAUAUAACAACCUCUUGUCCCGCGAGAUUUUGAAACCAUUACCUCCUCCGACGAAAUGGAGAUCAAAAAACCAUUAGUACAAAGGUAGAAUACAACCAAACUCUAGGUAUAGCAAUUUUUGUUCUCUCUAACAAAAGCUAAUACAUGCAGAUGACACUUUACCAUAGUGACGAAAAACAAUUAUGUCUACGCACCCCAACCAACCUCCUCACCCCUAACAAAAGCCAAUACAUUGAUAUCGUCUACCCUUCUAAAGUCAUCACAUUUUUAUUCAGAGAAUGGAGGAGAGAAGCUGAAGUAGCGUAUGAGGCCAUGAGAACAUGGAAAUUCAGACCAAAGGAGCAUAAAAACCAUAUGGAAAAGAUGAUGAUGCAUGUGGAACAAUUGACAAACUUGAUAGAAAAGAUGUGAUGCGCAAACACGACGCCUUUUCAGGUUGGAGGGGGCCUUUGUGGUCUGAGCGAGAGAGAGAGAGAGAGAGAGAGAGAGAGAGCUCCUCUAAUUCAAUCAUAUAAAAGUAAAACUGAUGAUAAAUCAUUCCAAACACACAAAUAACGUUAUAAAAAUGCAGUCUCUUUAAUUAAUUAUUGACAAAUAGCUUGAAAUCUUUCAAAAUGCGGUCCAUUCAUUUUGCGGUUGCGGUUGUGAUUUCUUCGUUUUGUUGAAGCUCGCCAGCCUCUCAACAACGGUGCAAUCCACUUUACAUAUGAGGAGGUGGGGGGAGCUGCCCUUGUUGCAGAGGAGGACCUUGCUUCCUCGGUCUAUUUGUAUUAAUAAAAUUUACUAUCUGCUUCUCAUAUAAACCCAACUUGUCUUUCAAUCCAGGUGAAAUGUUACUCUUGGAAACCUGUAAGAUUGAUAUGAGGCGCUCUAACAUGGUUCUGAACAUUUUUAGCUUCUCAAGCUGCUCUGACUUUGGUUGUUGUGGAAGAGAAUCGUGCUGGCAAACAGAAAGACCAGACAUCAGUAAGCAAAAGAAUGGCAAUAUAAGGAGUAACAACUUUGUUGCGAAAUCUUAUUAGCAUUAUUGGUGAGGUAACAAUCCCAAGUAGACAGUCUACAUGGGUACAAUAAUUAAAAGGGAGAUCAAGGUAGAAUCUAUCAAAGAGCAGCACCACAAUAACCUAGCAGGGAAAGCCCUGCUUAUUGCUAAAAGUUCAAGCAACAAAUUAUGAGAGAAGAAAAAAUUGAAUUGAUUACAUACCUGCUGAAGUUUAGUAGCAAUUUUCUGAUACAUUUCACUUAGUUCGGGUUCGUACCUUUCCUUCAUGACUUUGAUCUGCAAAUGAAAGUUAUAAAUACAAAGAUGAUUAGAAAGAACUUUGCUGCAGCUACAUGCUUGCCGAUACUCAUGAAUUCAGACAGCAUGAAUUCAUGUAUGCUUGUAUCUAAUGAAGCAAGUUUUAAUUAACUCCCAACCGAUGGUAGCUUAACAAAGCUGCCCCACAAGGAAUCUUAACUAGCAUGUAAUUCUUCAAAAUCCCCAUUCAAGGCAAUUUUGGCAUUAGUAUAAUUAUUUUCCAGUAGCUCUAUUCCCACCCCCACGCCAAAUAAUUUGUAUUUUUUAUCUUUAGAUGUUGUAUGUGAAAGCCAUCAAAUGGACAAGAAGUCAGGACAUCUUACUUUUUGAUAGACCUCCUCUUGCCAAUCACCCCCAUUUGCAUAUCCAGUCUGAGCUGAGGAAUCUAGAAAAGCUACAAAAUAUAGAGAGAUAUAUAUGUCAAUGUUUGCACAUAAAAUGAAAUUUGAACACAAGGGUUAAAAAUGAGAAAGAAAAAAAAUAAGCAUUGCAUGCAAAACAUUGAUAUGGAAAAUUAUCCUUCCCAAACAGUUGAGGUGCAAUUUUGCUCCUACUUUCUGCUUAUGACGGUAAUUACUUUUUUAUGGGAAGACAUCAGGUGCAAUUUUGCCCUUGAUUGGGGUCUUGGGGUUGCAUACCUUGAUUGGGGACCUGGGGUUGCAUACCGAAAGACCCUUCUCAAGUAAAUAGCAAGAAUAAACACCAUACAAACAAGCGUCAAAACAAGAAAACAAUAAAUGUCAUUUGUACUCAUCAUUUGAUCCAUUAAAUACGAGCGAAUAAAGAUAUCAAGAACGAAUCAUCUCAGUUAAGAAAUGCGGGAGUAAUUAAGAAAAAGAACGAACAUUUCUCGCAACAGAUCAACCAUCAAGAAGAAAGGUAGCCAAGAGAGAAAAGGGCAGUUUUCAAUAGUUGUUUUUACUGUUACCAGCAGAGUUAGAUUGUAAAGGAUUGCCCAUUGAAUUCUGAGACUUGGUCUCCAGUGUGAGCAUCUUCAGAGAAAUUUUCCGUAGAUAAUCCGACUACAAAAUAAAAAAAUCCAUGCUAAAUUUAGAAUACAGUUCUAUCCAAAAUAUGAAGAAAGUUCAAACAUAUACAACAUUUUUUUAAGAAGUCAUAUAUGUAAUAGAUAGGCAAGUAUUUAAGUACACAAACAUUUCAUGCACCAUAAGAAAUAAGAACUCUGGUAUUAUGGAAGCACCUGGCUUGUGGCUGCAGUAUAAAUCUUUUCCUCAAACCUUACAGCAAUUUUACUGAGUUCCUGUAAUCCAUCUUGUCCGGAGAAGGGAAAAUGCCUCUUCAACGUAUCCAUUCUAUACAGGCAAUAAAAUCAACAUCAGUUACUGACUACCAAUAUGUUCUAAGUUUGAAGUCCUCUCGCCAUAGUUUAGAUUAGAUUACGCUAAAUUAGACUACCGCUUGAAACAAAAAAAAAAAUGGACAAAGAAAAACACUUGCAGAUUGUUGACAAUUCUUUGCCUUGAAUCAGCCUGCAGCUGACUCCUCCAAUCGCCGGCAUCCAUGGCGGCCUCUCCAACUUGAGAAGGCCUCCACUUAUUGGUAUCCAUCAAAUCCAAUCAACCCAACAAAACUGCCAAAAACAAAAGCACAGGACUGAGCAACUUCAACGAAAACCUACGAAAACGGCACAAAAAUUCGUACAAGAGCUAGCUAUUCGAACGACGAUACAGUUUAUAAUUACGCAGGCAGUUUUUUUGCUUCAGAAUUUGCAUUCAUUCAAGCUGAUUCUAAACACGGUUUAGGCGCCAUGAAAAAUCAAAACUUGCAAUUCACAUACAAUCGAAAACCAGAUACGAUUUACACAAUCAGAUCAAAAAAAAAAAAACAUUAACGAAUUUCCCACAAAACCCACGAUCGACCAACAUCUAAAACAAAAAACCCAACAAAAUUUGACCAAAAAGUUACCUCUUUUGUUUCAGAACAGGAGAGUUGAAGAUUGAAAGGUUCAGGUAGCCUGGAGUGAAACAAUGGAGAAAUUGCAGAACUGGGAAAUCGGGGGAUUGGGAAAGGAAGGAGGGUUCUUGCUCAAAAGCUUCAAACUUUGACAAGAUUGAAUGGAUUGAUGCGUCCGAUGUGGUCUUUUUAGUUAAGUAGGAAGGGAGAGACAACAAAUAUCCUAUUUUAACAAAUGUCUGAUUUUUUAGGUUUUUUUUUUUUUUUUAUAGAAAACCUAAUGAAAAGCGUUUGAAAUGUUUUAGUUUUAAUAAAAAAUCAUGUUAUAAGUUUUGUUUAAUGAUUAGUAUAAGACUCAUAUUAAAGUAGUCUAACUAAAAAUUGUCUAACUAUAAUAACUUAUUAUUUGUCGAUUUUACCCUUAACUUUUUUAGGUUGACUUCCAGAUUUUCGUCGUUAAUGAAGUUCAUCGUUGUUUUGCAGACCUUCUUCUUUUUCUUUGAAACAAAAAUAUAGAUCCUCAUGCAAGUUAAUUUAUAUUUUGUAUUAUUUUGUUGAAACGUGAUCGUUGUUAUUAUUCAUAAAGUAUUCGAAAUACUGUUUUUCAAUUUUUCUUCGUUAGUGGAGUUCAUCGUUUGUUUUUCCAGAAAACAAAUUUGAGAUCUGCACGUUAUUCAAUAAUAACGAUGGGUCACUGUUUCUAGACUGUAAAAAUAAACUGUUUCUGGAUUUUAAGUAACACUGUUUCUGAAAUCUAAGUCACUGUUUCUGGAUCUAAAUGAAAUAGACACAUUGUUUCUUAAAUGUAAGCUAGAAAAGAAAUAGUGAAAUUCAUUGUAUUUGGAUUCAAAGAAAAAUAAGCAUCAUGUUUCUUAAAUAUAAUCAACUGAUGCAUGAAAGAAAAGAAACAAUCAAAGGUUAAAAUAUAGACUGUUUUCAAAAAUAGUGUUAUGUUUUGGGUUCUCCAGAAACAUUUUUAUGUUUUGGUUUUUUUUUUUCCUAUUUACAGACGCCUGACAUGUACGUACAUCACCGGGACCGUAGGUCCAUAUUGGAUCUAAUUGGAAUAAAAUACUAACACUAUAAAUUGUUCGUGGUGCUAAUAAGAGAAUGAGGAUGAGGACGUUGACGUUGACGAGGACGAGGAGGAUAAGGGCACGAAAAAGGUAGACAAUAGUUUUGGAUGAUUUUUUAUUAAACUUUGAGCCCUUUUGGUUAAAUAAUAUUUUAGGUUGAUUUUUGGUUAAAUAUUUGUUGGCCCAAAUCCUUUUCAUUAAAGCUCCAUUUGUUUAUUUAUGUUUGAAAUUUGAAUUUUUAGGGACAAAAUGACGAUAAAACCAUUGUCAUUAGGACGUUAUAAGUUGCCACUUACCACUUUAUCCUAAUCCUUCUAGGCUUUCUAGUCAAAUCCCAAUAGGAUAGGAAUAUUUCCGACUGUGUCAAAAGAACAAUGUAGUCUUCUUUAUAACUAGCAUCUCGGUACGCGCUCAAAUGCGCGAAUUGACUUUUAAACACCAAUUAAUGUGUUGGCAUUUCAUUAGUUUUAUGUUUUAUAUCAUCACUUUGAAACUUAUUUAUUUGUACUAAAUAAGAAAUUGCUAUAUAUAGUUGGUGUAAUAAGUUUGUGUCUCUAACAUUAUUGAUGUAAAUAGACUGAUUUUCUUAUAUUAUUUUUAAUUUUAAAUUUAUUAAUUAUAUAACUUUACACUUUAUUGCUUUUCAAAGAAGACAGAACAAGGAGGAGAUCAAUUAUUCCUCAUUUAAUCUACUUCUUGACCUUUUUGGUAUUAAAUUGCAUAUAGUAAGCAUCACGUAACUUUUAUUUUCAUGUGUUAAUAAAUGUAAGAAUCAAAUGAUUUCACAUGUGAGUAAAUACAUGUGGUUGGCAUGAAAUCUUCAAUAAAACCUCUUGUCCCAUGAGAUUUUGAAACCAUUACCUCAUCCGACGAAAUGGAGAUCAAAAAACCAUUAGUACAAAGGUAGAAUACAACCAAACUCUAGGUAUAGCAAUUUUUUUUCUAUCUAACAAAAGCCAAUACAUGCAGAUGACGUUUUAUCAUAAUGACAAAAAGCAAUUAUGUCUAUGCACCCCAACCAACCUCCUCACCCCUAACAAAAGCCAAUACAUGCAGAUGACGUUUUAUCAUAAUGACGAAAAGCAAUUAUGUCUAUCCUCUACCCUUAUAAAGUCAUCACAUUUUUAUUCAGAGAAUGGAGGAGAGAAGCUGAAGUAGUAGCAUAUGAGGCCAUGAGAACAUGGAAAUUCAGACCAAAGAAGCAUAAAAACCAUAUGGCAAAGAUGAUGAUGCAUCUGGAACAAUUGACAAACUCGAUAGAAAAGAUGUGAUGCGCAAACACAACGCCCUUUCAGGUUGGAGGGGCCUCUGUGGUCUGAUACUUGGUCUCCAUUGUGAAGUCACGGCCCAGGAUUAUGGAAGUACCUGGAUUGUGGCUGCAGUAUACUAAUACGAGGGGGAGAGAGACAGAGAGAGACACAGAGAGAGAGAGAGGGACAGCUCCUCUAAUUCAACCAUAUAAAAGUAAAACUGAUGAUAAAUCAUUCCCAUAGUCAUACAAUAAAAGUAAAUAAGCAUUUCUACUGUUCCAAACACACAAACAACGUCAAAAAAAAUGCAGUCUCUUUAAUUAAUUUAUUGGCAAAUAGCUAGAAAUCUUUCAAAAUGCGGUCCAUUCAUUUUGCAGUUGCGCUUGCGGUUUCUUCGUUUUGUUGAACCUCGCCAGCAUCUCUACAAUGGUGCAAUCCACUUUACAAUGCACUGUGCAGUGCCCAUUGCACUUCCCUUUCCACUGCCCUGGCAUUAUCAGCAGAAUCCGCCUAUGUUUGACAAUACUUUUCCGCGUAGUACGUUGCAAAUGAUAUAAAUUAUUCCAGCGUCACAUCCUUCUUGCCCUUGUUUCUUCUUCUAGCAGCAGCAGUGGCGGGAGUAGCAGCACCACAAUGAUGACAACGCCCAGCCUUCCACCUCACAGCAGCAAACAGAUGCACUCAAUGCAUCUGAGCCAAUGUCACUGACAGAUGCACUCAAUGCAUUAGGUGACAUCGAUUUCAGUACUCAAAAAGAGAAAUAUGUAAUAAGAACCACUUUACUAACCGCCUUAAUCAAGCGUUCAAGAGGCUGCUCGGUAACACUCGACUUGCCAAAAAUAAUUGACAAAGCAUUAACAUGAGUAGCAUCUGGUACACUAAAUUCAGCAAGCAAAGGAGAUGCUGAUAUCCCAGCGGUGCCAAAUGCAAGGGACUGGACUGGUGCUCCCACCCCAGCUACUUGUUGAUGUCCGAUAUUCCCAGCAUUUGGUAGUGAGGAAGGUUUCUCAAAAUCCCCUGCCAUGGGGGAUGGAGCCAUGGGAGUUGAAGGAGAUGGCAUGACAACAGGUGAACUGGCAGUUUGCAAUGGUGUUCCAGCUUUCGGGUGAGUCGGUAGAUUCUGCUGGUCAACUUGGGGAGAAGAAUGUUGCGAAAUUUUAGGAGAUGCAGCCUGAAGGAGUUGGUUUGAUGAUGGAAUAGGAAAUGGAGAUCCUGAUUUCAACUGCUGAUGCGGAUAAGCAUGCUGGCCUGUGGAUAUAUGUUGCUGAAAAACCCCUGGCUUAACACCCAUCCCCUGUCUCAUCUUCAAGUCAUUUUCAUCAUUCAUUUGAUGAAGCUGUGGCAUUUGGUGUUGGUUCGCCUCCAUCUGCGCUGGAAGCUGCUGCUUUGCUUGCUGCAACUGUUGCUGCUGUUGCUGUUGCAGGUAUCUGCUGCUUCUGUAUAAAUUGCUGCUGCAUUUGCUGUUGAUUCUGUUGCUUCAGCUGAUUCUGAAACAUUUGCUGUUCUUGCUGUUUCAAUUGCUGGUGUUGAAGCAUACCAGAAUUUGACUGAAGGGAGUUAAUAAUUUGGCUGAAGCAUACUAACCCCACUCUGCGAUGACAAACCAUUCAUGUUAGCUUGAUGGGAAGCACUGACAGGAGUUUGUUGGAUAGAUCCCACUGGAACUUGCUGCAAAGAGUUCAGUGCAUUUCCCUGUCCUGAAUCCAAAUUUGUACUCAGCUGCAAUGAAUUCAUCAUGUUCUGCUGUGCUGUUGAAACCCCAGAUAUCGAACACAUUGAAUUUUGCUCCAAGCUUGUCAUAUUGUUCUGCUGCAUUGUUGGCACAGAACCUUGUAAAUUCAUUGUUUGCAACUGCGGGUUCAUUUGAUUUUCAUGAGACUGCACUUGACGAAUUUGAGACUGCGGCUGCUGCAUAGAGUGCAUAUGAGGUGGGGGGAGCUGCCCUUGUUGCAGAGGACGACCUUGCUUCCUCAGUCUAUUUGCAUUUCUAAAAUUUACCAUCUGCUUCUCAUAUAAACCCAACUUGUCUUUCAAACCAGGUGAAAUGCUACUCUUGGAAAUCUGUAAGACUGAUAUGAGGCGCUCUAACAUGGAUUUGAACAUUUUUAGCUUCUCAAGCUUCUCUGACUUUGGUUGUUGUGGAAGAGCAUCCGUGCUGGCAAACAGAAAGAACAGACGUCAGUAAGCAAAAGAAUGGCAACAUACGGAGUAACAACUUUGUUGCGAAAUCUUAUUAGCAUUAUUGGUGAGGUAACAAUCCCAUGUAGACGGUCUACAUGGGUACAAUAAUUAAUAGGGAGAUCAAGGUAGAAUCUAUCAAAGAGCAGCACCACAAUAACCUUGCAGGGAAAGCCCUGCUUAUUGCUAAAAGUUCAAGCAACAAAUUAUGAGAGAAGAAAAAAUUGAAUUGAUUACAUACCUUCUGAACUUUAGUAGCAAUUACCUGAUACAUUUCACUUAGUUCGGGUAAGUACCCUUCCUUCAUGACUUUGAUCUGCAAAUGAAAGUUAUAAAUACAAAGAAGAUUAGAAAGAACUUUGCUGCAGCUACAUGAUUGCCGACACCAUCAUAACAUCAAUGCCAAUGGAAAAGAGCCCGUGCAUGCAACCAUGAAUUCAGACAACAUGAAUUUCAUGUAUGCUUGUAUCUAAUGAAGCAAGUUUUAAUUAACUCCCAACCGAUGGUAGCUUAACAAAGCUGCCCCACAAGGAAUCUUAACUAGCAUGUAAUUCUUCAAAAUCCCCAUUCAAGGCAAUUUUGGCAUUAGUAUAAUUAUUUUCCAGUAAUAUGCAUUUUUAUAUUUAGAUGUUGUAUGUGAAAGCCAUCAAAUGGACAAGAAGUCAGGACAUCUUACUUUUUGAUAGACCUCCUCUUGCCAAUCACCCCCACUUGCAUAUCCAGUCUGAGCUGAGGAAUCUAGAGAAGCUACAAAAUAUAGAGAGAUAUAUAUGUCAAUGUUUGCACAUAAAAUGAAAUUUGAACGCGAGGGUUAAAAAUGAGAAAGAAAAAAAAAAAGCAUUGCAUGCAGAACAUUGAUCAGGGGGCCCGUUGCUCUUACCAGCAGAGUUAGAUUGUAAAGGAUUGCCCAUUGAAUUCUGAGACUUGGUCUCCAUUGUGAGCAUCUUCAGAGAAAUUUCCCGUAGAUAAUCCGACUACAAAAACAAAAAAAAUCCAUGGUAAACUUAGAAUACAGUUCUAUCCAAAACAUGAAGAAAGUUCAAACAUAGACAACAUUUUUUAAAAGUCAUAUAUGAAAUAGAUAGGUAAGUAUUAAGUACGCAAACAUUUCAUGCACCAUAUGAAAUAAGAACUCCGGAAUUAUGGAAGAACCUGGCUUGUGGCUGCAGUAUAAAUCUCUUCCUCUAAACCUUACAGCAAUUUCACUGAGUUCCUGUAAUCCAUCUUGUCCGGAGAAGGGAAGAUGCCUCUUCAACGUAUCCAUUCUAUACAUGCAAUAAAAUCAACAUCAGUUACUGACUACCAAUAUGUUUUAAGUUUGAAGUCCUCUCGCCAUAGUUUAGAUUAGAUUACGCUAGAUUAGACUACCGCUUGAAACAAAAAUAAAAAAUCGACAAAGAAAAACACUUGCAUCUUGUUGACAAUUCUUUGCCUUGAAUCAGCCUGCAGCCGACUCCUCCAAUCGCCGGCAUCCAUGGCGGCCUCUCCAACUUGAGAAGGCCUCCACAGCGGCUGCUGCUGCUGUUGGGGUAAAAUUGGCUGUUGUGCCAUUGGUGUUUGUUGUUGAUGAACAGCUACCUGUUGAGGCUGCUGUUGCUGCCGGAGAACUGGCUGUGAAUGCUGCUGAAGCAUGGGUUGUGAUGACUGUUGCAUAGCAGAUUGUUGAUUCUGCUGAAGACUCAAGAGAAAUGAUUGCACCGAAAGCUGCAUAAAGGAUGAUGUUGGCAUAACAGAUUGCUGGGAAGACUGCAACUGAGUCGGUUGUAAAAGGUUCUGCUGCUGUUGCUGUUGCACAAGUUGUGGCAUAUUUCCCUGCUGAUAUUUUGGCUUCAAAAGCGAAUGUUGCAUCUGUUGAUGGUACAUAUACUGCUGGGAAUUCUGGGAAUUCUGGGAUUGCUGCGGCUGCUGCUGUUGGGGAGCUACCUGUUGCCUUCCUGGCAUUUGCCUUUGAGAAUUAGCAAAGACAUUGGAGGGUACCCCCUGGCCCAUGGAAUUCCCUAAUGAAUUCUGUGAACUUCCGGACAUAUUUUGCAUGUUUGGGUUUUGUCCAACAAUACUUGGGAUAGGAGUCUGGGUUAAACCGGAAGAAGGAGGUAGUGCAGAUGAUAAGUCAGACGAACUUUGAACUCCAGCAGGUGGAAUGUUAUUCUGAAUGCUCUGUGAUAAAAGUGGUUGGCGUCCUUGAGAUUGAUUAGCUGGUAACGGCAUAGAGAGUGAUUGCCCAUGAUUGGGGACUUGGGGUUGCAUACCAAAAGACCCUAUUCAAGUAAAAUAGCAAGAAUAAAUACCACAUAAGCAAGCAUCAAAACAAGAAUACAAUAAAUGUCAUUUGUACUCAUCAUUUGACCCAUUAAAUACAAGUGAAUAAAGAUAUCAAGUACGAAUCAUCUCAGUUAAGAAAUGCAGGAAUAAUUAAGAAAAAGAAAGAACGUUUCAAUAGUUGUUUUUACCUGGAUCAGGGGGCCUGUUGCUCUUACCAGCAGAGUUAGAUUGUAAAGGAUUGCCCAUUGAAUUCUGAUACUUGGUCUCCAUUGUGAGCAUCCUCAGAGAAAUUUUCCGUAGAUAAUCCGACUACAAAAACAAAAAAAAUCCAUGCUAAACUUAGAUUACAGUUCUAUCCAAAAUAUGAAGAAAGUUCAAACAUAGACAACAUUAUUUUAAGAAAUCAUAUAUGUAGUAGAUAGGUAAGAACUCUGGUAUUAUGGAAGCACCUGGCUUGUGGCUGCAGUAUAAAUCUUUUCCUCAAACCUUACAACAAUUUUACUGAGUUCCCGCAAUCCAUCUUGUCCGAAGAAGGGAAGAUGCCUCUUCAAUGUAUCCAUUCUAUACAUGCAAUAAAACCAACAUCAGUUACUCAAAACGGGGGUGGCAUUCAUAAUAGCAAAACUGGAUUCGUAUACAAUCCACUAAAAUAUGUUUUAAGUUUGAAUCCCUCUCACCAUAGUUUAGAUUAGAUUACGCUAAAUUAGACUACCGCUUGAAACAAAAAAAAAUCGAAAAAGUAAAACACUUACAUCUUGUUGACAAUUCUUUGCCUCGAAUCAGCCUGCAGCUGACUCCUCCAAUCGCCGGCAUCCAUGGCGGCCUCUCCAACUUGAGAAGGCCUCCACUUAUUGGUAUCCAUCAAAUCCAAUCAAACCAACAAAACUGCCAAAAACAAAAGCACAGGACUGAGCAACUUCAACGAAAACCUACGAAAACGGCACAAAAAAUUCGUACAAGAGCUAUUCGGACGACGAUACAGUUUAUAAUUACGCAGGCAAUUUUUUUCAUCAGAAAUUGCAUUCAUUCAAGCUGAUUCUAAACACGAUUUAGGCGCCAUGAAAAAUCAAAACUUGCAAUUCACAUACAACCGAAAACCCGAUACGAUUUACACAAUCAGAUCACAAAAACACCAACAAUAACGAAUUUCCCACAAAACCCACGAUCGUUCAACAUCUAAAACAAAAAAACCAAAAAAAAUGUCCAAAAAGUUACCUCUUUUCUUUCAGAACAGGAGAGUUGAAGAUUGAAAGGUUCAGGCAGCCUGGAGUGAAACAAUGGAGAAAUUGCAGAACUGGGAAAUCGGGGGAUUGGGAAAGGAAGGAGGGUUCUUGCUCAAAAGCUUCAAACUUUGAGAAGAUUGAAUGGAUUGACGCGUCCGGACGGGAUAUUUGGAAAAAUAUAAAAUUAUGAUCAUCCUUUUAAAUUUAUGCACAGUACUCCUUAGUAUAACCGUCGAAUAGUAUCAAUUGGACCUUAGAAAGAAUCCCUUUGAUGCUACGAAGAUCUUCUAAAAUCUUCUGCCACUGUAGUGGCUUAAGUCGGAGUACAACAUCGAAUAACCGUGUCAUGAUACAACGAUUACUUUGCAGAGUUUUGUAGACAUGCAAGAAUGAAAACCUCGUUCUUUUUGCUUUACGAAGUUCCCACUGUAAGAAGAGUUACCAAACUCAUCUCGUGUUACAUGUCGCGGGGUUUGCUCCACGCCCCACGUUGUUGUAGAUAACAAACGUGUUAUCCGAUGGACGCUACAGACUCAUCCACAGGGUACUUCAUCAUGCAAGAUCCUAGAAUGGCACUUAGUUGGUUACUAAGGCGUCGUCCUGGUGAGUCUACCAAACCCACAAUUUGAUAUAAAAGUAAUAAAAUACCCUUAAUGACUAAAAACUUGUUCAUUAGCUUAACUGAGAAAUUUGGAAAAGCGACCAUAUUUUAGAUCCCAUAUAGAAUUAUAGCCAUUAUUUUAGUUUUACGAUAAUUUUAACCAAAACUUGAUAUAAAAGUACUAAUAUACCAUUAAUGACAAAAAAAUUCCCCAUUUCUCUUAACCAUGAAAAAAUAACAAUUAAUUGAGAUCUUGAAGCAUAAAAGAGGUAGCCUCUUGAAUACUACCCAGUACCCUUACUCUCGAACCCCUCCAUUUCCUACACACUUUUUUAAUCAAUAUAUAUAUGUAUGUAUGUAUAUAGAUAUAGAGUAGAUAUUGAUAUUCAAACGUAAUCAAAGAGCAUAAAAAAUGAAGAUAACCUAGUAAACUAAACAUAAAACCAUGAGAAAUCAGCAAAGGGUGCUCUUUGGUUUAAGGUGAGAGACUAGAUGGUUGAGAGAGAGUUUAAAGGAAGUUUUGUUUUUGUUGUGAGAAACCCCUAAUGCGGAUUAAUCAAGCAGGGUCAAGAUAAUCAGGUAGGUAGUGACCCCCAAUGCGGAUUAACCAAGCAGAGUCACACCUGUAGAACUGUUAGGCAAUGAUCACCCAACGCGAAUUAACCAAACAUGAUCACUCCUAAGUAUAAAUGGCCAUAAGGAUCGCCCAACGCGGAUUAACCAAGCGCAAUCCGUAUAUAGUAUGGUUCCCCAACGCGGAUUAACCAAGCAGAGCCACUAAUGACCCCCUAUCGCGAAUUAACCAAGCAGGGUCAUGGUCUCCUAUUAGCCCUCAAUUUAACAACCAUUCCAAUAUGCUAUUCAAUUCACUUUUUCAAAAAUAUUAUCAAUCCAAUUUACUUCACUUCAUGAUGAUUCACAACAUAAAUAUACUUCUCACAUAACUUUCUCAUUACUCAAAGAACUUAAGGAAUAAUGCAAUACCAAUGCAAAUCAUAAUUCUCAUUAAUGAGAUUUUUCAUAAUCAUCAUGGAAUUUUCACCACAACACAAUGCAAUUCAUAUAUGUAACUCAAAUGUAUAUGUGUCCAUAUAUCACAUGAAUGCAUCUUUACGCCCAAAAAAAUUAUGAAAUCAUGCAACCACAAUGCAUAUCGUAAUUCACGCAAACAAGACUCGAGAAGGUUGCAUAUCAUAGAGUAGGAUCAUUUGCUCUGAUACCAUUAAAGUUGUCACGCCCCGAUUCCAACAUACGUCCAAGAUCGAUACGUGACGUCCCUAAAUGCCCGUAACUCAACAUACCCCGCCUUUUGGAUAUGUACAAAAUAUAAUUCAACAUCCAGAUGCAUAAUAAUUUUGAGUAUACUUUAUGGCUGCAUCUAACCUCUUCGUUAAACUACCUACGUACCCUCAAUAGGGAUCAAGUCAUUCGUAGUUCCACAAUCGUCAACUCUAAUCUUUCCGUAAAAUACUUCUAACAGAAAAUCAUAAGGCACCAUAUUACACAUCAACCUUAUGUCAACAACAAUUAUCAUCUUUCAUACACGCAUGUAACCCAUUCUCACACAGAUACUUUCCAAUUCAUCCAUCAUAUAAAUCACUGUGUUUCACAUAAUACCGCAAAUCAUAGUAUGUAACAUAUCAAAUAACCAACGCAAUGUUAUUCUCAAGUCACAUUAAUCAAUUACUCUAAUCAUAAUAAUCUCAAUCAUACCCAACUUCAUUCCACAAUCACAUCAAUUAAUUAAUCAUGAAUCAAAGAUACAUGAUCUUAGCAUUUAAUUGUUUAAUCAAUGAAUGCAGUAACAUAUCAUUUCACAAAUUCUAAGGAACUCUAACAACUUCGAAGGAGUCACCCAGACAUCCAACGGUUCAUCUGGAACAAAUCACAACAGCUCAUAAUCAUAAUCUCAUACAACACCAUGAAAAGUGGGGCUAGAGCGACACAGUUCGGCCGAAGCCUACAUCUCUGAAGCUAUCUUGAUCCAAACUCAAUAAAACCCAAGGUGAACAUGAUCCCGGACCAUCUCUCAAUGGAAUCACGAAGUAGGAGGGAUUCCGAACCAACUCUUAAUGAAAUCCAAGUGGAUAUGAUUCCGGACCAUCACUUAACGGAAUCGCGGAGCACAAUGCAUAACCACCACUAAAUGAAACCCAAGUUAGAUAUGAUUCCGGAACAUCACUCAACGGAAUCGUAGAGUAGAAAGGAUUCCGGACCAUCACUCAACGAAAUCGCGAAGUAAAAGGGAUUCCGGACCAUCACGCAACAGAAUCCAAACCAGAAUAUGAUUCCGGAUCAUCACUCAACGGAAUCGCAGAGUAGAAUGUGUAACACCAAUCAAUAAAACAAGACAUGGAUCGAGUUACUCAAGGUACAAAGACUCAACGAAACGAGGAUGAAUAAUGACACGAGGGUUGAAACAUGUUUCGAAGGCAACAAACCCCAUAACAAUGGUUAAUGGUCCACUACUAGCCCUCGUAUUUCAUCACAUCAAUCCAAUCAUACAAUACAAACCAUAUUUCCAAUGCACAAGUCAAAUCAUACUUAAUGAAAAUAGAUCAAUGACCAAAAAUAAAAUAACACUUCAAUAGAAUUCACAUUUAAUUAACAUGGGUCUAUGGCAUAUAUAUAUAUAUAUAUAUAUAUAUAUAUAUAUAUAUAUAUAUAUAUAUAAUUCACAUUUCAAUAUGCAAUUCGAAUCAAUCUUCCACAAAUAAUACCCAUCCAUGAAUCAAAUCACAUUUAAUAAAAAUAGAUCGAUGGCCAAUUAUAAAAGAAUCACAUUUUAAUAGAAAACACAUUUAUAAAACCAUGUCAUAUCCACAAAUGAUAUUAAUACCACCACUCAAUUAGUAGUAAAGAAGAUUAGAAAGGAAUCUGGAAAGAAACUAGGUGUGGCAAAAACAGUACUCUGCUUCUCCACAAAAUUUGCAGAAAACAGCACCAUUGGACCAAGUUUAGGCUCCUUUUGGAACAUUCAAAACUAAACCAAAUCAUGUAAUAUUAUAUGGGUUUUGAAGCUUGUGUUCUGUACCUUAAAAGCAUACAAAGUUUGUAGAAAACGGAGCUCUAGAUUGGAAGUUAUGCCAAAAGAAAAACGGAGUCUUGAAACUGGACACCCAAUUUUCUGCUGCUGUUUGGCAGCUCGCGACCUAAGUUUAAAUAAGGUUUUGAUCAACCAAAACUCAACGGAUCUGAGUGAAAACAAUUGGGUUACGACCAUGAACAUAUGUACUUUCAACACACUAAAAAUUUUCUCCAAAGGAGUACAUAAAGGCCUAAAAAUUAAGAGCCAAAGAAGGCUACUCGAAACUUGAGUUUUCUUUGCAAAGAAAUCAAUUUUCUGCAGCUUACGUAACAGCCCACUUCCAAUUCAUAUAACAAAUCCCAAAAUACUUCCAGGUAGUCCAGAAGUCAUGUAUACAACAUCCAAAACUAACAUGACUCAAAAUUAACAAGAAAUUGACCUUUUGAACCAAACCCUUGAUCAAGAAAUUUGAUCUACACACCCAAUCCAAAAUACCCAACUCUAAUUCAUGUUUAGACUAGUUCAUUGAAUGAUAGAAACCCUAAAUAGAAUUAAGAACUCCAAUAUAUCAUGGCAAUUUCAAUUCAACUUAAGAAAGUUAAAUUUGAAAAUCAAGAUAAUGAAGUAACAAGGAAUUUACCCUUUAAAUCUCUGAAUCCUUCCUUCACAAUCACGUUCUCUAACUCCUUUCUCUCCAAUUUUUGCCUGAAGAAAGAAGGAUUUUCUUCCAACAGCUAUGGAAGAGCCACCUCCUCCCUGUUUCUUUUUCUUUCCUCGCAAAGCCAGGAAGAACGUGGAAGAACGUUCUUUUCCCCCUUCUCUUUUGCAACUCCCUUUUUUCCUUCUCUUUUUUUUUUUCCUUCUUCCCCCCGUUGGUCCCUCCUUUUCCUCCUCUGUUUCUUUUUUUAUUUUUUUUCUUUUCUUUUCCCUCUUUUUCUCGCCACUCUCAUGGCUUUCCUUUUCUUUUUUUCCUUCAGCCACUCCCUUGGCUUUUUCUUCUCUUUUCAAUUUUUUUUUUUGCAACAACUUCAAACGUCUGUAACUAUACCGUUAUAAUCCGAACUCGCAAACGGCUUUUGCCUAUGUGUUCGUGAUCUCGAUAUCUAUUCAACAAUAUAAAUUGUGACUUUGAAUGGUCUAAGGAUUUUAAAUAAUUAAUUUCCUGAAAAAUAAUAUAAAAUCUCUAUAAUACCAAUACGUGGAUUAUAAUAAUGAAAUCCAAGAACGAGAUUUCACACUUCCACAAAUGGGCAGGAAUGAUGACCGAGGAUCGUAUAUUAACACCCCCAAGGGACUGAUUCUGACCAACCGCCCAUUUAUAUCCGGAUUUAACUGAAUAAAUCCCCUUUUUAUCUAGGGGCCAAACCAAAUGAUCUCGCAACAAAGGGUCUCCAAUAUGCGUCCCAAGGAUAGCCUCGAACUCGGACCUCUCCAAGAAAGGUUUCAAAAAAUCAAUGUCCCACAUCCCAUUCUCUGGGCAAAUCAGCGAAUUUACCAACAAAUGAUUAGAAACCUGAACCGUACCAAAGGGAGAAGGUAUUCUCAAUGGAAUAGACGAGAUCCAUCUAUCAACCCACACCCUAACCUCAUUUCCACUCAUAAUCUGCCAAUGAGCUCCAUUGUAUAAUAUAUCCCUUCCAGUGAUGAGGCUAGACCGGGCCCAAGAGGCUCUCCCGCCCUUUUUAGCAUCCAUGAAAGAAUAAUUAGGGAAGUAUCCGGCCUUUAACACCAACGCCCACAAAGAAUUUAGCCCCUCAAUUAAUCUCCAACACUGCUUAGCCAACAGGGCAUCGUUGAACAUCUCAAAACUCCUUAGACCUAACCCACCCAUAUCCUUAGCCCACCCCAACUUCUCUCUAGACACUCAAUGAAUACGUUGCUCACCAUCUUUUUGCCUCCACCAGAACUUUGAUAUCAUGGCAUCCAACUCAUUGCAUAGGGAAGUAGGAAACUUGAAUAAGUUCAUAGGAUAUGCAGGGAUGGCUUGCACCACCGCCUUUAUGAGGACCUCCCGCCCCGCUUGAGAGAGAGCGGCUUUCUUCCAUCCCCAAAGUUUGCCCAAUAAUCUUUCUUUAACGUAUGAUAGCCCACUUUUUUUCAAACGACCCCAAAUAGCAGGAACCCCCAGGUAUAAACCUGGAUCUCCAACCCUCUCCAUACCCAGAAUGUUCGCCAAAUGAUGGGAUAAAGACUCAGGCACAUUGUUUCCAAAGAAAACGCUUGACUUAGACUUAUUAACUUUCUGACCCAACGCCAAGCAAUAAUCAUCAAUCAUUUUGGAUAAUUGCCGACAGUUCUCCUCCUCAGCUCUCAGGAAAAUCAGAGUAUCAUCAGCGAAGAAUAUAUGGGAUAUUGUCGGGCCAGGCUUGUUCAUUUGGACUCAUCUGAUCCAACCUCGAUCACUAGACUAUUGGAUACAAAGUGAUAACACUUCACUAACCAGUAAGAAGAGGUAAGGGGAAAACGGAUCUCCCUGCCUUAGCCCCUUUAAAGGCGCAAACUUGGGUCCGGGUUAACCAUUCAGAAUGAUUGCAAAAUUCACAGAAGAAAUUCAUCCAAGGAUCAAGCUUCUCCAUCUACUGUCAAACCCCAAUUUCUCCAUCACCGCCAUUAAAAAAUCUCAUUCCACCCGAUCAUAAGCCUUGUGCAUAUCCAAUUAAUGCCCAAUUCAAAUUUGCAUUUCAUUUUCCUCGUUUUAAGAAAAUGGAAUAAUUCAUGUGCAAUUCCAAAAUUGUCUUAGAUUUGCCUUCCUGCCACAAAGGCAUUUUGGGUAGGGGAAAUCAACUUCGGAAGAAUCAGUUUAAGGCGAUUUGCCAAAACCUUCGAGAGUACCUUAUAAGAGUAGUUGCAUAAACUAAUGGGCCGAAAUUGAGAAACGGCUUCCGGGUUUUGAACUUUCGGUAUCAGAACCAAAUGAGUAGCAUUGAUCCUCAUGGGAUUUUCCAAACCAUGCAUCAAAUCUCCAAUAAUUUCAUUCACAUCAGCAACAAGUAUGUCCCAAUGAGCCUGAUAGAAAAUCCCCGGGAAGCCAUCAGGGCCAGAAGCCUUCAACCCACCCAUCUGCAUAGCGGCAUCCUUCACUUCGUCAACCGAGACCGUACCCGAAAGGGUUGCAUUCAUAUCAUUGGUAACCUUUGGGGUCACACAAUCGAGGAUUUCUCCCCACUCCCGUUGCUUCGAUGACUUGAAUAACUCCGUAAAAUGCUCAUCCAUCAAACUCCUAAUUUGACUUGGGCUUUCAAUCCACUCUCCAUUGCUAUUUUUUAAAGUCACCACCUUGUUUCUUCGUCUUCUUUGAAGGGUAGACUGAUGAAAGAAUUUCGUGUUGGCAUCUCAUUCGUUUAGCCAAUGCACCUGGGACCUUUGUUGCCAGUAACACUCUUCCUGCCUCCAUAAUUGAUCAACAUUCUUGGAAAGAGACACAAUUUCCACCGCAUUCUCCCUCCAAUUCUAUUGGAGCCGACCCAAAUUAUCCAACAUCUCUUUAAUUUGCCUCCCACAAUUUCUGAAUUUUCCCAUGCUCUAGUUAAUUAAUUUGGCACGACAAUUAUUUAUCUUGUAAUUCCAUCUCUCUAUAGGGCUCCCCUCCCUGGAAUGAUUCCAUGCAUCUCUCACAAUAUCACUGCACUCCCCAUCCUUAGCCUAAAAGGCCUCAAAGCGAAACAUCUUUUUCGUUUUGUUAAUCUGAAGCUCACAUAUUACCACCACAAGACUAUGGUCAGAACCCAGAGUCGUUCCAAUUUUAACCGACGUAUUUGGCCAAAUAAAUUGCCAACAAGCAUUCACCAGCCCCUAUCUAGCCGAGCCUCCACCAACUGCCCAUUUCGAGUCCCAUUCCAAGUAAAUUUAGGGCCAUUAAACCCCAAAUCCAUAACCUCUACCUUGCACAUAAACUCUUCUAGGUAUCUAGGUCGGUUGUAUCUCACUUCCGCUCCCCCAGAUUUUUCAUGGUCCCAUAAGACUUCGUUAAAAUCCCCUCCACAAAUCCAGGAGGUAUUAUCCGGGCUGAAUUUCUGAAUCAUACCCUUCCAAAACUCCUCUUUCUCCGUCCUAUACGAUGUCGCGCAAACUUCGGUAAACCAAAAUCUAGCAUGUGAGUCAACCAACACACAUUUAGCAUCAAUGAAAUGCUUUGAAAAUUCCAUCACCUCCACUUGGACCGAGUCCUCCCACUAGAGGCUAAGGCUUCCAGCUCUCCCAAUUGGUGCUACAUCAAAACCAUUCGAGUACCUCAUACGUCUUCUUACUCAUAUUAUUCUAUGGUCUUUCAUUUUAGUUUCCGAAGGAAAAAUCAUAGAGGGUCUAUGUUCCCUUAUUUGCCCAUGUAAGUCACGAACCACCGUGUCCGACCCUAGACCACGACAGUUCCAAAAAGGUGUAUCAUGGCGAUCUUACGGGUGUAGAAGGUCAGCCGCCACCACAUCGGGAUGAAGAACCCGCUUUCUUUGACCUCAACGCCUCCUUCUCACCUUCAGGGAUCAUCUUCAUAUAAUCCCCUAUUUCCUGUUGUUCAAUCGGGACAUCCUGCAAGUUCUCCUCCAUAUGGACCGCCCUUUCCAUCAACAAGCAUCUGUCUCUGAUAAACAUCUUACCCAAUCUUUCAGCCGCUCUCUCUUCUCUUCCUCUUACUCUGCUUCUUUCUUCGCCAGUUUUCGUUUUCUUCUGAGAUAAUAAACCCUCAUUUGUACUUACCCUUUCCAAAUCCCUCUUACUCUUACUUCUUCCCCCUUCGUAUCAUGAGCCGAGUCACUUGCUAUUACUACUCUUUUCAUACUUGGAUCUCUUCUUUGAAAUUCCAUUGAGCAUUGACCUUGUUUAUGCAGCACCAUUAUUCCAUUCCCACUUGGUGAAGGGUUAGGUUCCACUAUUUCCUCUAUCACGACAGAUGGUAUUCUUCCAUAAUCAUUUGAAUCCACCCCCGGUUGAAAACCCACUACAAAGCGGUUCUGCCCCAUCAGCCUACAACCAUCCAUGAUCCAUUGGGCCGGGUUAGGAUACGGUUUCUCUCUUAUUCUAUGCACCAUGUGCCAUUUUUUCGAACUGUUUCCUAAUCCUUGCUGAGGUGUAGGUUGAUUGGGAGCCCCCCCACCAGAUGCACUUGAUUCAUUAUGAUCCCCAUUACCACCCUCACUUCGAUGCAUAUUCGUCACCCUUGGUCCCCCCUUUCUUGCUCUCGUACUUCUUUGCUCCCUCAUAUUGAUGACCACAUGUCUUGGCCUUUCAAUGAAAGCUCGCACUGGUGCCGCUUUUGUCCAUUCCUCAUACCCUGCCAUACCUCCCCUUACAGUUUCGAAAGUGCAUUCGUUGUUGGCAUGCCUGAUUCUCCCACAUCGAUAACAAAAAUCUUGAAGUCUUUCAUAUCUAACUUCAAUCCAAGUCUCACCUUUGUUUUCCCUCGGGAGCCAUCAACAUGUAAUAAGGGGCUUCGUAGUAUCUACAGCAACUUUGACUCUCAAAAAACCUCUAGCCUUUGUUGGAUCUUCAACUUCCUCCACUUGCCCAAUCUUAGACGCAAGGCACCUCACAUUUUCUUCUGAACUCAGAUUAAGCGGGAUACCCUUGAUUUGUAUCCAGAACGUGACUACAUCCACAUUGACUUCCUCCAAGGCUAAUUCCGGUGGCCAUUUUUUAACUGAAAAGUUCUGCUUCAUUACCCCCCAGGGAACCUGGUCAAUGAUCUUUGUGGCUGUGCUCUCAUCUAGAACAAUGAUGAUGAAAGUAUUGUCCUUAACCUACUUAAUUUCUAUCUCCCCCAUCUCUUUCCAUAAGGAUCUAAGAAUAGUUCGAACUCCCCAUUUGUUAAGGGUUUUCUUUACCAAAGUUGUACCCACCAGCUUUACACUUUCUUCCAUAGUAGAAAGCUCCAAUUUUUUCUCCAAGUGCACCACAAGUUCCUCCACUUCAGCCCCAACCAUCUGACUACUAAUUCGACAGGAAUCAUAGACAAAUUUGGACACAAUAUACAAUAGAUAGACAAUAGGGAUUAUACUCCAAAUCUUACUUUCUUUUUUCUUGGCUCUCUUGUUGACCUCCCAACCCUUUGACACCAAUUAAAAAUACCACAAACCAUACACAAAUUAACCAGUGUUUGUUUCCACCCAAAUGAACUUACCUCUUCAUUACUGUCCGGAUUUAAUGUUGCUGGGUAGUUGGCCAGGGCUCUAAAUGCAGGAUAAAACUGAGGAAGAUUUAGUUUUACUUUCUCGCCUGAUCUUGAUUGUCUGUAUUUAUGAUUAGGACCACCUUCAUGAAUGAUAGGACUCGAGUUCUGCUUCCUCAUUGGUUUCUACCCAGUAACUUCCUAUGAGUUAAAAUUUGAAAACGCAGGAAACCCACAUACCAGUUCGUCUACAGAGGUAUUUCAAUGGACGCUGCAGGACUCGUUGAAGUUUCUGAAGCUAUUUUGACACCAUUAGAAAAAGUUGUAAUCUAAGUUUUGCUUGGUUCAACAUAAUCAGGUACUGGAGGAGGGAGGUUAACACCUGGAAGCUGGGUUUCCAACGGAGGAAGAGCACUUGAGCUCUCCCCGGUCAGCCAGCUAAAGAGACCGCCUUAUCGGCAUUAGCCAUUAGAACUUCAUAGUGAUGCCCGAAAGCGAGUCUGAGCGGUCUGCCGCCCGUGUUGACCCAAUUCUCCACCGCAAACUCGGGAUUCUUCGACUUGUUCCUCUUGAUUCGCUUCAUCUACCCGUCUGCACAGCCAGUGUAAAUAAUCCCCGAUCUCUUAUCAUAAGCCACGUCCUCCGGCCCCGGCAGGACUCCAUACCCCACACGCUUAGCUCCUCGAAACAUGCAAGAGUUUUAAGCUGGGGCCUUCUUGAUUAAGUGCCGAGUCAACUCGCUAAACGGCACGGAGGCCGGGUCGAACGAGUCAAGUUGGUAGAUUAGGGUUGCAGCAAAAAUGGGGAUGAUCAAGAUUUGAAAUAGAGAAGUUGGAGCUGAGAGCCAUGAUGAUUUGGAGCUGGGUUUGGGUACAGAAACUGAGUCUGCUGAGUUCAUUGACUCGGGUAUGACGUUGAAUUGAAUUUGUGGUUUGGUUAUAAAUACUGAACAAACUGAUCAUCUGAGGCCUUGUUUUGGUGUUUCUGCAGAUUCACGGCGGAGGUGAAAAAUUGAGAGAGAACCGACAUAGCUUUUCGUGUCGAUUACCACAGACGGCGCCAAAUGUUGAUGCACAAAACCGAAGGUCUUGGAACAACGUAAAUCCGACCGUGAAUAUGCAAGAAAGUAAAUAACACAAGAUGUAUCGUGGUUCACCCCAAUUUUUGGGCUACGUCCACACUGAUAUUGUAUUUCUCCGUAAGAGCUUGAUUGUGAGGAUGAGAGCAUGAGAGAGCUUAGAGCUUAGGGGAUGUAAGGAGGCUUCAUGGCCUAAGAAUUGGCCUAAGAAUUGGUCUCUCUUAAUGAGGAGAGUGAAGAGUCAUUUUAUAGAAUAAGGGCUCCUCACUUAUUACAUAUUUGCCAUUUCCUUUAUUACAUAAUUACAUUUGAGUCCCCCGAGUAUUUAUACGAGAUCUAAAUACGGAGGCCCUAAGUAUGAUACAAACAGUAGUCCCCCAAGUCUUCAGUCAAGAGAGUAUUUUGGCUAGAGACUUGAAACUCAGUCCAUGUGUGGGCCGAAGUAACUAGAUGUUUUCUUGAACUGAUGCUCGAUAUGAGGCGAUGCUCAAUCUGAAAUGAUGCUCAACUAGAAGUAGCACAUGUUGCGAGGCUGCUCGGCUUGUGGCUUAUGUUGCCUUGGUUGGCUCAGCUUGUGGCGUCGAAAGUGUGGGAGUCCCUUUUAUAGAAUAAGGGAUCGCUCCGCAAUACAUAAGUGAUGGGUUAGGAGUGGUGCUUGCGGCGAAGAGGUUGCUCAGUAGGCGGCGAUGCUCUCUAAUGAAGAGGAAGAAGUCCCUUUUAUAAGGUAAGGGCUCGCUCCUCAGUACAUGAAUAAUGGGUGCUCUCUAAUGAAAGUGAGGGAGUCCCUUUUAUAAAAUAAGGGAUCGCUCCUCAAUACAUAAGUGAUGGGCUAGAGUCCCCCAAGUAUUUUUUAUGAGGCCCAAUAUAUGGUACAUAAUGUAAAUGUUGAUGCACAAAACCGGAGGUCUUGGAACAACGUAAAUCUGACCGUGAAUCUGCAAGAAAUUAAAUAACACAAGAUGUAUCGUGGUUCACCCCAAUGUUUGGGCUACGUCCACACUUAUAUUGUAUUUCUCUGUAAGAGCUUGAUUGUGAGGAUGAGAGCAUGAGAGAGCUUAGAGCUUAGGGAAUGUGAGGAGGCUUCAUGGCCUAGGAAUUGGCCUAAGAAUUGGCCUAAGAAUUGGCCUCCCUUAAUGAGGAGAGUGAGAAGUCCUUUUAUAGAAUAAGGGCUCCUCACUUAUUACAUAUUUGCCCAUUCCUUUAUUACAUAGUUACAUUUGAGUCCCCCGAGUAUUUAUACGAGAUCUAAAUACGGAGACCCUAAGUACGGUACAAACAUAUAAGUAUGAUAUCAAUGUACGCUAACAUUAAGUCAAGAAGUAUACCACAACACAGUAGCUCAACAGCAAUAUAAAUAAUCGUGUGCUUAAUAAUCCAUACUAGUACGCAAAUCGGAGUCACCUAUGGUGACCUGUACGACUGCACCCAUAUCUCAUCAAUCAAUGCUAGCACAUAAGUCGGAGUCACCUAUAGUGACCUGUACGACUCAUCCAUAUCUCAUCAAUCAAUGCUAGCUCAUAAGUCAGAGUCACCUAUAUUGACAUGUACGACUUAUCCAUAUCUCAUCAAUCAAUGCUAGCUCAUAAGUCGGAGUCACCUAUAGUGACUUGUACGACUUAUCCAUAUCUCAUCAGUCAAUGCUAGCUUAUAAGUUGGAGUCACCUAUAAUGACAUGUACGACUUAUCCAUAUCUCAUCAGUCAAUGUUAGCUCAUAAGUCGGAGUCACCUAUAGUGACAUGUACGACUUAUCUAUAUCUCAUCACAUAUCCUUGUAAUAUGUCGGCCGGAUCCACCUCUAGUGGCAUGUAUGGCUGAACCCAUAGCUCAUCACAUAUCCUUGUAAUAUGUCAGCCGGAUCCACCUCCAGUAGCCUGUACGGCUGAACCCAUAGCUCAUCACAUAUCCCUGCACACAAGUCGGAACCACCUACAGUGGUCUGUACAACAGGACUGGGUAUAAUUAAGUACGUUCAAGUACUACGAUCACGUGAAUACUGUGCGAAUAAUCGCGAGUCACCUACGAGUCGGAACCACCUAUAGUGGUUUGUACGACAGGACUGUGCACCUACCUUGGAUCCAAGGUGAACGUAAGGUGCGGGGGGGGUGAACAUCACGUGAAGGACUGUGCCCUGGCCACGGGCGGGAGCACUAACACCGGGAUGCAGGUUUAUGAGCUCUAACUGCAUCUAUUGUAACAUAUACGACUCAUAGGCAACCUGUACGACAGUGUCGGAGUUGCCUAUUAUAUACAUGUAGUCAUGCCAUAACUCCAUCAUUUCAACUAAUACUCUAAACUCACAUGAACUUACCUGGGUGUCCUGCGUUCAACUUUGCACUUCAAAGCGUUGACAACAAUUAUGUGCAAGUAAUAUACAUAUGGAUAUACCAUGAUGCAAUCUAAUACUCAACCAUGUCAUAGCAUUUUAUAUAUAAUAUGACAUAAAAUGCAUAAGUUAUAACGCCCUACUCCCGAACUAUUUAUUUUCGGGGAUAAUUAUCGGUGAUAAGCCCAAUUAGACACUAGUUUAAUUAACUAUCAUUACUUACGUUUCCUUACUUCAAUUUCUUGAUUCUUCACACAUUGAUUUAUGACCAACAUUUAACCACCAAUUCAUAAGGUUAAAUCUCACAUCUUCCACCAAUGUCUCUCACAUUAUUCAAUUCCUUAAACAAGGCUAGUCUCAAAGGUUUAGUCUCAUUUGUUGUAUGGCUGCAUCUAACGUCUCGUUAGACUGCCUACGUACCCUAAACAAGGAUCAAGUCAUUCGUAGUUCACAAUAAUUACCUCAAAGCAUUCACAGUAAUCGUAAGCAAUAAUCAAUUUAUAAAUGUUGGUGGAAUUAUCAAUCAUAUAAUAUAUAUACACACACACACACGAUAUAAAGGAAAAGACCCACUCACCUGAGGUCCGCGCUACGACUCCCUAGCACGCAUAUCGAGACAUCAUGAACCAUAGUUGCCUAUGACCAAUUAUCAAAUCACAUCUCAGAGUUCAUACCGAUAAAAUACACAAUUUACAUAAAACAUAUCCCUACGUAAUUCAAAUUGGAAGAUCUGCAACACAGAUUUCCGAUCUGUUACUUCCAAAGAUCCACAUUACACUUCUAGAACAACAUCUUAAAGUCUCAUUACGAUCCAACGGUCGGAUCUCCGCCAAUUGUCAAAACCAAGUGACGGUUAACCUUUUAUUUUAUGAACUUACAAAUCCAAUUCAGGAAUAUUCGUAUAUCGGAUUCCCGACCUGUAAGUUCCUAUGGUCCUCAAAUAUUACGUAUUAUAACGUAUUAAAGUUUGGUGAUGAUCCGACGGUCGGAUCGUCGAUUCAUACAAUGACCUAUUAACGUAACGUAGAGAAUUUAGAUUCCAACAAUCAACCUACGUCAUACAACUACCAAAAAUGAACUCAAGGCAUCUAAUUAGCCUAAUAAUAACAUCGGCGGCCCCCUGGCCACGCGCCGCUGUGGGUGGUGGUCGGCGCCCCGACUCGUCGAAAAAUCCAACUAUUUCAAAAAAUUACCAAAAUUGUAGGUCUCAAUGAGUGGAGCAACUUUAAUACCUGUGACCAAGGCCAAUUAGGCCGGGAACCUCAAUUUUACAUAAAUCCGUUGGAAACCCUAAAGAGGGUGUGCUUCGAUUCGACCUCCAUGCUCACUCCGACGCCUCCACAAGUGUUUGGGCUUUGUUCCUAAGGUUGAGGGGAGUCUAUUUGUGGUGGUAAUUGGAGGAGGUAGCUUCAAAUCAUGGCGGAAUAGAACCCAACCCGUGCGCCAUUUCUUGUACGGUUUUACCCAAAAUUCACCAAUUUCCACCCAAUUUUCACAUGAAAAUGGAAGAGGGAUCGGUUUGCCUUGUGGUAAGGGUCAUUUUGACACUAACCUUGUCGUCCAAGGUGGCCGGAGAUGGGAGAAUCCACCGGGUCGGGUCACGGGUUGAGGGAAACCCGGUUUCCCCUUUUUCUUUCUCCCUCCUUUCCCCUCCUUUCCUUCCUCUGGUUGGUCACCUUCACUCUCUCUCUUCAUUCCCUUAGCCGAAGCUCUCUCUCCCUUCCUCUCUGAUUGGGCAGCCAAUCCCCUUCUUCUUUUUCCCCUUCUCCCCCUGUUUCUUCUUCUCCUUCCCUCUAUUUUUACCAAAGUUAAUCUUAAAAUAAUGUAAUGGUACUUAAGAAAAUAUAUAAAAUAAUAAAUGGUAAUAUCAAUACCCCAAUCCGCUUCUGUUUACGCCUAUGCGGCCGUAUUGUCAAGUACUACAAAAAUACACUAAAGGAAUAUUUCAUACGUCUCACUAUACGUUGGUCAACGAAAGUCAAUACCCUCGCCUCUUAGGGCAUUUUCGUAAAUUCACACUUUUAAAAUUUAUAAAAUCAUAGAACUAGGGACGGGUUGUCACAUAUUUUCUUAUAUUUUUUUUAAUUUUAAAUUUAUUAAUUAUAUAACUUUACACUUUAUAUCUUUUCAAAGAAGGCAGAACAAGGAGGAGAUCAAUUAUUCCUCAAUUAAUCUACUUCAUUAUUCCUCAAUUAAUCUACUUCUUAACUUUUUUGAUAUUAAAUUUCAUUUUCAUGUGUUAAUAAAUGUAAGAAUCUAAAUGAUUUCGCAUGUGAUUGGCAUGAAAUCCAAAUGUCUCUUUAGUUCAAUAUAACAACCUCUUGUCCCACGAGAUUUUGAAACCACUACCUCCUCCGACGAAAUGGAGAUCAAAAAACCAUUAGUACAAAGGUAGAAUACAACCAAACUCUAGGUAUAGCAAUUUUUGUUCUGUCUAACAAAAGCCAAUACAUGCAGAUGACGCUUUACCAUAGUGACAAAAAACAAUUAUGUCUACACACCCCAACCAACCUCCUCACCCCUAACAAAAGCCACUACAUUGAUAUCCUCUACCCUUCUAAAGUCAUCACAUUCUUAUUCAGAGAAUGGAGGAGAGAAGCUGAAGUAGCAUAUGAGGCCAUGAGAACAUGGAAAUUCAGACCAAAGAAGCAUAAAAACCAUAUGGAAAAGAUGAUGAUGCAUGUGGAACAAUUGACAAACUUGAUAGAAAAGAUGUGAUGCGCAAACACGACGCCUUUUCAGGUUGGAGGGGGCCUUUGUGGUCUGAGCGAGAGAGAGAGAGAGAGAGAGAGAGAGAGAGCUCCUCUAAUUCAAUCAUAUAAAAGUAAAACUGAUGAUAAAUCAUUCCAAACACACAAAUAACGUUAUAAAAAUGCAGUCUCUUUAAUUAAUUAUUGACAAAUAGCUUGAAAUCUUUCAAAAUGCGGUCCAUUCAUUUUGCGGUUGCGGUUGCGAUUUCUUCGUUUUGUUGAAGCUCGCCAGCCUCUCAACAACGGUGCAAUCCACUUUACAUAUGAGGAGGUGGGGGGAGCUGCCCUUGUUGCAGAGGAGGACCUUGCUUCCUCGGUCUAUUUGUAUUAAUAAAUUUACUAUCUGCUUCUCAAAUAAACCCAACUUGUCUUUCAAACCAGGUGAAAUGUUACUCUUGGAAACCUGUAAGAUUGAUAUGAGGCGCUCUAACAUGGUUCUGAACAUUUUUAGCUUCUCAAGCUGCUCUGACUUUGGUUGUUGUGGAAGAGAAUCGUGCUGGCAAACAGAAAGACCAGACAUCAGUAAGCAAAAGAAUGGCAAUAUAAGGAGUAACAACUUUGUUGCGAAAUCUUAUUAGCAUUAUUGGUGAGGUAACAAUCCCAAGUAGACAGUCUACAUGGGUACAAUAAUUAAAAGGGAGAUCAAGGUAGAAUCUAUCAAAGAGCAGCACCACAAUAACCUAGCAGGGAAAGCCCUGCUAAUUGCUAAAAGUUCAAGCAACAAAUUAUGAGAGAAGAAAAAAUUGAAAUGAUUACAUACCUGCUGAAGUUUAGUAGCAAUUUUCUGAUACAUUUCACUUAGUUCGGGUAAGUAAUUUUCCUUCAUGACUUUGAUCUGCAAAUGAAAGUUAUAAAUACAAUGAUGAUUAGAAAAAACUUUGCUGCAGCUACAUGCUUGCCGAUACUCAUGAAUUCAGACAGCAUGAAUUCAUGUAUGCUUGUAUCUAAUGAAGCAAGUUUUAAUGAACUCCCAACCGAUGGUAGCUUAACAAAGCUGCCCCACAAGGAAUCUUAACUAGCAUGUAAUUCUUCAAAAUCCCCAUUCAAGGCAAUUUUGGCAUUAGUAUAAUUAUUUUCCAGUAGCUCUAUUCCCACCCCCAUGCCAAAUAAUUUGUAUUUUUAUCUUUAGAUGUUGUAUGUAAAAGCCAUCAAAUGGACAAGAAGUCAGGACAUCUUACUUUUUGAUAGACCUCCUCUUGCCAAUCACCCCCAUUUGCAUAUCCAGUCUGAGCUGAGGAAUCUAGAGAAGCUACAAAAUAUAGAGAGAUAUAUAUGUCAAUGUUUGCACAUAAAAUGAAAUUUGAACACGAGGGUUAAAAAUGAGAAAGAAAAAAAAUAAGCAUUGCAUGCAAAACAUUGAUAUGGAAAAUUAUCCUUCCCAAACAGUUGAGGUGCAAUUUUGCUCCUACUUUCUGCUUAUGACGGUAAUUACUUUUUAUGGGAAGACUUCAGGUGCAAUUUUGCCCUUGAUUGGGGACUUGGGGUUGCAUACCUUGAUUGGGGACCUGGGGUUGCAUACCGAAAGACCCUACUCAAGUAAAUAGCAAGAAUAAACACCAUAUAAACAAGCGUCAAAACAAGAAAACAAUAAAUGUCAUUUGUACUCAUCAUUUGAUCCAUUAAAUACGAGCGAAUAAAGAUAUCAAGAAAGAAUCAUCUCAGUUAAGAAAUGCGGGAGUAAUUAAGAAAAAGAACGAACGUUUCUCGCAAUAGAUCAACCAUCAAGAAGAAAGCUAGGCGGGAGAGAAAAGGGCAGUUUUCAAUAGUUGUUUUUACUGUUACCAGCAGAGUUAGAUUGUAAAGGAUUGCCCAUUGAAUUCUGAGACUUGGUCUCCAUUGUGAGCAUCUUCAGAGAAAUUUUCCGUAGAUAAUCCGACUACAAAAAUAAAAAAAUCCAUGCUAAAUUUAGAAUACAGUUCUAUCCAAAAUAUGAAGAAAGUUCAAACAUAUACAACAUAUUUUUAAGAAGUCAUAUAUGUAAUAGAUAGGUAAGUAUUUAAGUACGCAAACAUUUCAUGCACCAUAAGAAAUAAGAACUCUGGUAUUAUGGAAGCACCUGGCUUGUGGCUGCAGUAUAAAUCUUUUCCUCAAACCUUACAGCAAUUUUACUGAGUUCCUGUAAUCCAUCUUGUCCGGAGAAGGGAAAAUGCCUCUUCAACGUAUCCAUUCUAUAAAAAAGGUCGUAUCCAUUCUAUACAUGCAAUAAAAUCAACAUCAGUUACUGACUACCAAUAUGUUUUAAGUUUGAAGUCCUCUCGCCAUAGUUUAGAUUAGAUUACGCUAAAUUAGACUACCGCUUGAAACAAAAAAAGAAUCGACAAAGAAAAACACUUGCAGAUUGUUGACAAUUCUUUGCCUUGAAUCAGCCUGCAGCUGACUCCUCCAAUCGCCGGCAUCCAUGGCCGCCUCUCCAACUUGAGAAGGCCUCCACUUACUGGUAUCCAUCAAAUCCAAUCAACCCAACAAAACUGCCAAAAACAAAAGCACAGGACUGAGCAACUUCAACGAAAACCUACGAAAAGGGCACAAAAAUUCGUACAAGAGCUAGCUAUUCGAACGACCAUACCGUUUAUAAUUACGCAGGCAGUUUUUUUGCUUCAGAAAUUGCAUUCAUUCAAGCUGAUUCUAAACACGGUUUAGGCGCCAUGAAAAAUCAAAACUUGCAAUUCACAUACAAUCGAAAACCAGAUACGAUUUACACAAUCAGAUCAAAAAAUAAAAUAAAAAUAACGAAUUUCCCACAAAAACCCACGAUCGAUCAACAUCUAAAACAAAAAACCCAACAAAAUUUGACCAAAAAGUUACCUCUUUUGUUUCAGAACAGGAGAGUUGAAGAUUGAAAGGUUCAGGUUGCCUGGAGUGAAACAAUGGAGAAAUUGCAGAACUGGGAAAUCGGGGGAUUGGGACAGGAAGGAGGGUUCUUGCUCAAAAGCUUCAAACUUUGACAAGAUUGAAUGGAUUGAUGCGUCCGAUGUGGUCUUUUUAGUUUGAAGUAGGAAGGGAGAGACAACAAAUAUCCUAUUUUAACCAAUGUCUGAUUUUUUAGGUUUUUUUUUUUUUUUUAUAGAAAAACUGAUGAAAAGAUGUUUUAGUUUUAAUAAAAAAAUUAUGUUAUAAGUUUUGUUUAAUGAUUAGUAUAAGACUUAUAUUAAAGUAGUCAAACUAAAAAUGGCAUAACUAUAAUAACUUAUUAUUUGUCGAUUUUACCUUUAACUUUUUUAGGUUAACUUCCAGAUUUUCGUCGUUAAUGAAGUUCAUCGUUGUUUUGCAGACCUUCUUCUUUUUUUUUGAAACAAAAUUAUAGAUCCUCAUGCAAGUUAAUUUAUAUUUUGUAUUAUUUUGUUGAAACGUGAUCGUUGUUAUUAUUCAUAAAGUAUUCGAAAUACUGUUUUUCAAUUUUUCUUCGUUAGUGGAGUUCAUCCUUUGUUUUUCCAGAAAACAAAUUUAAGAUCUGCAUGUUAUUCAAUAAUAACGAUGGGUCACUGUUUCUGGAUUGUAAAAAUAAACUGUUUCUAGAUUUUAAGCAACACUGUUUCUGGAAUCCAAGUCACUGUUUCUGAAUCUAAAUGAAAUAGACACAUUGUUUCUUAAAUGUAAGCUAGAAAAGAAAUAGUGAAAUUCAUUGUAUUUGGAUUCAAAGAAAAAUAAGCAUCUUGUUUCUUAAAUAUAAUCAACUGAUGCAUGAAAAAAAAAGAAACAAUCAAAGGUUAAAACAUAGACUGUUUCUGGAAUUUAAGGCACUGUUUUUAGAAUUUAAGUCACUGUUUCUGGAUUUUGGUUCUUUUAUUUCCAGAUAGAGUGUUUGUUUGUGCACAGAAAAAACAAAAACUGUAUUUGAUUUUUUUUUUCCAGAAAUAGUGUUAUGUUAUGGGUUCUCCAGAAACAGUUUUAUGUUUUGGUUUUUUUUUUCUAUUUACAGACGCUUGACAUGUACGUACAUCACCGGGACCGUAGGUCCUUAUUGGAUCUGAUUGGAAUAAAAUACUAACACUAUAAAUUGUUUGUGGUGCAGAUAAGACGAUGAGGAUGAGGAUGAGGACGAUGACGAGGAUGAGGAGGAUAAGGGCACGAAAAAGGUAGACAAAAGUUUUGGAUGAUUUUUUAUUAAACUUUGAACCCUUUUGGUUAAAUUGUUUGUGUCUCUAACAUUACUGAUGUAAAUAGACUGAUUUUCAUAUAUAUUUUUUUUUAAUUUAUUAAUUAUAUAACUUUACACUUUAUUACUAUUCAAAGAAGACAGAACAAGGAGGAGAUCAAUUAUUCCUCAAUUAAUCUACUUCUUGACCUUUUCGGUAUUAAAUUGCAUAUAGUGAGCAUCACGUAACUUUUAUUUUCAUGUGUUAAUAAAUGUAAGAAUCCAAAUGAUUUCGCAUGUGAGUAAAUACAUGUGGUUGGCAUGAAAUCUUCAAUAUAACCUCUUGUCCCAUGAGCUUUUGAAACCAUUACCUCAUCCGACGAAAUGGAGAUCAAAAAACCAUUAGUACAAAGGUAGAAUACAACCAAACUCUAGGUAUAGCAAUAUUUUUUUCUCUCUAACAAAAGCCAAUACAUGCAGAUGACGCUUUAUCACAGUGACGAAAAACAAUUAUAUCCAUGCACCCAAACCAACCUCCUCACCCCUAACAAAGCCAAUACAUUGAUAUCCUCUACCCUUAUAAAGUCAUCACAUUUUUAUUCAGAGAAUGGAGGAGAGAAGCUGAAGUAGCAUAUGAGGCCAUGAGAACAUGGAAAUUCAGACCAACGAAGCAUAAAAACCAUAUGGCAAAGAUGAUGAUGCAUCUGGAACAAUUGACAAACUCGAUAGAAAAGAUGUGAUGUGCAAACACGACGCCCUUUCAGGUUGGAGGGGGCCUUUGUGGUCUGAGACUUGGUCUCCAUUGUGAAGUCACGGCCCAGGAUCAUGGAAGUACCUGGACUGUGGCUGCAGUAUACUAAUAAGAGGGAGGGAGGGAGAGAGACAGACAGAGAGAGAGAGAGCUCCUCUAAUUCAACCAUAUAAAAGUAAAACUGAUGAUAAAUCAUUCCCAUAGUCAUACAAUAAAAGUAAAUAACAUUUCUACUGUUCCAAACACACAUAAAACGUCAAAAAAAUGCAGUCUCUUUAAUUAAUUAUUGGCAAAUAGCUAGAAAUCUUUCAAAAUGCGGUCCAUUCAUUUCGCGGUUGCGGUUGCGGUCUCUUCGUUUUGUUGAAGCUCGCCAGCAUCUCUACAAUGGUGCAAUCCACUUUACAAUGCACUGUGCAGUGCCCAUUGCACUUUCUUUUCCACUGCCCUGGCAUUAUCAGCAGAAUCCGCAUAUGUUUGACAAUAUUUUUCCGCGUAUGUUGCAAAUGAUAUAAAUUCUUCAAGCGUCACAUCCUUCUUGCCCUUGUUUCUUCUUCUGGCAGCAGCAGUGGCGGGAGUAGCAGCACCACACCGAUGACAACGCCCAGCCUUCCACCUCACAGCAGCAAACAGAUGCACUCAAUGCAUCUGAGCCAAUGUCACUGACAGAUGCACUCAAUGCAUUAGGUGACAUCGAUUUCACCUGCAAGUUCAAAAUACAGAAAUUUAAUUUAAGCACAAGUGAGGGAAGGAAAAGACCAAUUUAGAUGGUAAGUACUGAAACAUCAAUACAGCACUCAAAAAGAGAAAUAUGUAAUAAGAACCACUUUACUAACCGCCUUAAUCAAGCGUUCAAGAGGCUGCUCGGUAACACUCGAUUUGCCAGAAAUAGUUGACAAAGCAUUAACAUGACUAGCAUCUGGUACAAUAAAUUCAGCAAGCAAAGGAGAUGCCAACAUCCCACUAGUGCCAAUUGCAAGGGACUGGACUGGUGCUCCCACCCCAGCUGCUUGUUGAUGUCCGAUAUUCCCAGCAUUUGGUAGUGAGGAAGGUUUCUCAGAAUCCCCUGGCAUGGGGGAUGGAACCAUGGGAGUUGAAGGAGAUGGGAUGACAACAGGUGAACCGGCAGUUUGCAAUGGUGUUCCAGCUUUCAGGUGAGUCAGUAGAUUCUUGUGGUCAACUUGGGGAGAAGAAUGUUGCGAAAUUUGACGAGAUGCAGCCUGAAUGAGUUGGUUUGAUGAUGGAAUAGGAAAUGGAGAUCCUAAUUUCAACUGCUGAUGUGGAUAAGCACGCUGGCCUGCGGAUAUAUGUUGCUGAAAAACCCCUGGCUUAACACCCAUCCCCUGUCUCAUCUUCAAGUCAUUUGCAUCAUUCAUUUGAUGAAGCAGUGGCAUUUGGUGUUGGUUCGCCUCCAUCUGCGCCGGAAGCUGCUGCUUUGCUUGCUGCAACUGUUGCUGCUGCUGUUGCUGUUGCAGUAUCUGCUGCUUCUGUAUCAAUUGCUGCUGCAUUCGCUGUUGAUACUGUUGCUUCAGUUGAUUCUGAAACAUUUGCUGUUCCUGCUGUUUUAAUUGCUGGUGUUGAAGCAUACCAGAAUUUGACUGAAGGGAGAUAAUAUUUGGCUGAAGCAUACUAACCCCACUCUGCGAUGACAGACCAUUCAUGUUAGCUUGCUGGGGAGCACUGACAGGAGUUUGUUGGAUAGAUCCCACCGGAACUUGCUGCAAAGAGUUCGGUGCAUUUCCCUGUCCUGAAUCCAAAUUUGUACUUGGCUGCAAUGAAUUCAUCAUGUUGCUGUGCUGUUGAAACCCCAGAAAUCGAAGACAUUGAAUUUUGCUCCGAGCUUGUCAUAUAGUUCUGCUGCAUUGUUGGCACAGAACCUUGUAAAUUCAUUGUUUGCAACUGCGGGUUCAUUUGAUUUUCAUGAGACUGCACUUGACGAAUUUGAGACUGCGGCUGCUGCAUGGAGUGCAUAUGAGGUGGGGGGAACUGCCCUUGUUGCAGAGGAUCUUGCUUCCGUGGUCUAUUUGUAUUAAUAAAAUUUACUAUCUGCUUCUCAUAUAAACCCAAAUUAUCUUUCAAACCAGGUGAAACAUUACUCUUGGAAAUCUGUAAGACUGAUAUGAGGCGCUCUAACAUGGUUUUGAACAUUUUUAGCUUCUCAAGCUGCUCUGACUUUGGUUGUUGUGGAAGAGAAUCGUGCUGGCAAACAGAAAGAACAGACGUCAGUAAGCAAAAGAAUGGCAAUAUAAGGAGUAACAACUUUGUUGCGAAAUCUUAUUAGCAUUAUUGGUGAGGUAACAAUCCCAUGUAGACGGUCUACAUGGGUACAAUAAUUAAAAGGGAGAUCAAGGUAGAAUCUAUCAAAGAGUAGCACCACAAUAACCUAGCAGGGAAAGCCCCGCUUAUUGCUAAAAGUUCAAGCAACAAAUUAUGAGAGAAGAAAAAAUUGAAUUGAUUACAUACCUGCUGAAGUUUAGUAGCAAUUUUCUGAUACAUUUCACUUAGUUCGGGUAAGUACCUUUCCUUCAUGACUUUGAUCUGCAAAUGAAAGUUACAAUACAAAGAUGAUUAGAAAGAACUUUGCUGCAGCUACAUGCUUGCCGACACCAUCAUAACAUCAAUGCCAAUGGAAAAGAGCCCGUGCAUGCAACCAUGAAUUCAUGUAUGCUUGUAUCUAAUGAAGCAAGUUUUAAUUAACUCCCAACCGAUGGUAGCUUAACAAAGCUGUCCCACAGGGAAUCUUAACUAGCAUGUAAUUCUUCAAAAUCCCCAUUCAAGGCAAUUUUGGCAUUAGUAUAAUUCUUUUCCAGUAGCUCUAUUCCCACCCCCAAGCCAAAUAAUUUGUAUUUUUAUAUUUAGAUGUUGUAUGUGAAAGCCAUCAAAUGGACAAGAAGGCAGGACAUCUUACUUUUUGAUAGACCUCCUCUUGCCAAUCACCCCCAUUUGCAUGUCCAGCCUGAGCUGAGGAAUCCAGAGAAGCUGCAAAAUAUAGAGAGAUAUAUGUCAAUGUUUGCACAUAAAAUGAAAUUUGAACACGAGGGUUUAAAAUGAGAAAGAAAAAAAAAAAAAAAAGCAUUGCAAGCAGAACAUUACAACAACAACAACAACAAAGCCUUUUCCCACUAAGUGGGGUCGGCUAUAUGAAUCCUAGAACGGCAUUGCGCGCGGUUUUGUGUCAUAUCCUCCGUUAGAUCCAAGUACUCUAAGUCUUUUCUUAGGGUCUCUUCCAAAGUUUUCCUAGGUCUACCUCUACCCCUUCAGUCCUGAACCUCUAUCCCGUAGUCACAUCUUCGAACCGGAGCGUCAGUAGGCCUUCUUUGUACAUGUUCAAACCCAUUUUGUGUACGUGUUGAUGCUUCACCUCCCAACGUUUUGUGCCAUACAGCAUCGCCGGCCUUAUUGCCGUCCUAUAAAAUUUUCCCUUGAGCUUUAGUGGCCUACGACAGUCACACAACACGCCGGAAGCACUCUUCCACUUCAUCCAUCCAGCUUGUAUUCUAUGGUUGAGAUCUCCAUCUAAUUCUCCGUUCUUUUGCAAGAUAGAUCCUAGGUAGCGAAAACGGUCGCUCUUUGGUAUUUCCUGAUUUCCGAGCCUCACCCCUAACUCAUUUUGGCCUCCAUUUGCAAUGAACUUGAACUCCAUAUAUUCUGUCUUUGAUCGGCUUAGGCGAAGACCUUUAGAUUCCAACACUUCUCUCCAAAAGUUAAGCUUCGCAUUUACCCCUCCUGAGUUUCAUCUAUCAACACUAUAUCGUGUGCGAAAAGCAUACACCAAGGAAUAUCAUCUUGAAUAUGUCCUGUUAACUCAUCCAUUACCAACGCAAAAAGGUAAGGACUUAAGGAUUGUUGAUGCACAAAAUUAGUGAGGACUUUGGUACAACAGAAAGUAUUAAGUUUGUGAUCUUCGCUAGAUUGCUCUGGUCAUUAGUGUGGAUAAGUAUGUAAAUGGAUAGAGACAGGAAAGCAAACACAAGAUGUACGUGGUUCACCCAGAUUGGCUACGUCCACGGAGUAGAGGAGUUCUCAUUAAUUGUGAAAGGUUUACGUAAGUACAUAGGUUCAAGAUCUCCUUUAGUGAGUACAAGUGAAUGAUUUAGUACAAAUGACAUAGGUGCAAGCUCUCGUCUUCACUUGCCUUAACUGUCUCAUAGGUAGAUGUGGCAUCUUCUCUGUAAGUACGCUUCUUCCAUCCAGGGGUGGUAUCUUUAACUGGUGGAGAUACAUAAGGUAAUGUAUCAAUUUCACUUGAAGCUUAUUUGUAGUUUCAGGCUUGGUCAAGCGCGAUACAAACCAUGUAGUAGGAGUCCCCCAAGUCGUUGAGCUAGGGGAUCUGCUGAAAGAGGUGACAGACAAGGUAAGCAAUCAGAGCUCCAAGCAAUCAGUCCCAGAUCAGAAGUUUGAUUUCGAGUUCUGGCUGAUUGUUCUCAUUCUCCCUAUCUUGCAGGCAGCAUGAAGGAUAAAAAGAAGAAAAGGAGAAUAGACGAUAUGAGAUACUUUUGCUUUUGAAGAAGUAACUUUCCACAGACUUAUUCUUGAACUGGGCUGGAGGAUUUUCUAGUUUCCUCCAUAGUAUAAGGCCGACUGAAGAAUUUGAGGGUCAAAACACGUCCAUCAAAUCUAGAGUACAUUCGACCCUGCUGAUAUGGGAUACUUUUGUUGUUGACAAAGUAGUGGAUGUAUCGGCACGUGUUCUGUUACGCUUGUCUCCACAUGCUUCCUUGUAUCCUUCUCACUUUCCCUAUCUGUUCCUCAGGCAGAUGUGGUAUCUUCUCUGGAAGCAUAAGAUGUUGAAGAUGGGUACUCGAGAGCAAUGUCAGGUAAGUAAUCAGGUAAGGGGUUCCAGGCAGUCAGUUCCUGACUAGAAGCUUGAUUCCAAGUGCUGACUGAUUGCUCUCUCCUUGUCUUGCAGGUAAGAACAAGGCCAAAGGAAAAGACAGGGAAAAAGCAUGAUAUGGGAUACUCUUGCUUUUAACCCUGAUGAUAUGAGAUAUUCUUGCUCUGGUGUAGCUUGUUUGCAGAGGUAUUAUUGGGGGGAAAGAAAGCUGAGUAUUUCGAGAGGCUUCGUUGGGAGUGCCCUCUCAAAUAUGAAGAAGGGUUGAGCAUUUUUGCAGGUCUGCCUGUCCGUUGAGGAUGGAGGUCGACAUAUAUAGGAGUUCCCCUAACAAUAAGUAGUAAUGUUAUUCCUUUACCCUGCUUGGUCAUAGCACGGUAGUGGGAGCUGCCAGCUUCACGUGUGUCAGAGCACUUUGAAAAAAUGGUCUGUGGUAUCCGGAAAGCUAAUGUUGAGUGUGAAGAUUACAGACAAGCUUUAUCCAAGGAGAUCUGGCUCUCAAAGUUGAGAAAGCGGUGCCUCUUCGGUUUUCGUACAAGCAAUCCUGUCGAGGAUCUGGCUCUCGAGAUUCGAAAAACGGUGCCUCUUCGAUUUUUGAGAGAGCAAUCCUGCAGGGAGUCUAGCUCUCGAGAUUCGGAGAGCGGUGUCUCUUCGAUUUUUGAGAAAGUAAUCAUGUUGGGAGUCUGGCUCUCGAGAUUCAGAGGACGGUGCCUCUUCGAUUUUGGAGCAAGCAAUCUUGUUGGGAGUGUUUUCUCGAAUGUAAGUAAAGGUUGGGCAUGUUUGCUAGUCUACCUUGCCACAGAGCACAGAGGUUGACACACAAGGACUUUCCAAUUAUCCAGCAGCGGUGCUGUUCCUUUACCCUUGUAGGUAAUAAUAUGGUAACUAGACCUUCAAAAUUUAUGUGUCUAAACUUUGUUAGUGCUGUUUCUUUGCUAUUCUUUUACUCUUCUUGGUCAUAGCGAUGUAGUGGGAGCUGCAAGCUUCACGUGUCUAAACUUUGUCAGAGAUCUUUGGCAAAGUUAUCUGUGGUACCCAUGAGCUGAUGGUGCGUGUGGAAAGUGGAUAAUUGAACAGUAAGAUUCACGUGCUUUCUACUUCACCAGAAAUCUUCAACAGAAUGCCCGUAAUUUCAGCAAAGCUGAGUGUGCAUGUGACAGGUGCUGACAAGGCUGAAAAAAGCAGGUGCCUCUUCGAUUUCUGAGAUCGGCCCUCGUGGUCUCUGAGCAGCCCAGCUUUUGAGAAAGCAAACGCCUCUUCGAUUUCUGAGAUCGGCCCUCGUGGUCUUUGAGCAGCCCAGCUUUUGAGAAAGCAAACGCCUCUUCGAUUUCUGGGCAGGCGCCUCUUCGAUUUCUGAAGCUCCGUCGAGUGCAGAUUUUUAUAGAGGCUAGCAUUAAGUUCCAAAGCACACUUGAAUCUUUACCAGUAGAAGCUCCCUUCUUGCACUUAUAAGAUCUUGAUUUGUCCGACCUCUUCUCUCUUCAACACCUUUGAAAAUGUCUGGCCCCUCCGACCGUCGUUUUGACUUGAACCUCGUUGAAGAGGCAGCCACGCCUUCUUCAGACAACAUAUGGCGCCCAUCCUUCUUAUCCCCUACUGGUCCGCUUACCGUUGGGGAUUCCGUGAUGAAGAAUGAUAUGACUGCUGCGGUGGUGGCCAGGAACCUUCUCACUCCCAAAGAUAAUAGACUACUUUCCAAAUGGUCUGAUGAGUUGGCUGUUAAGGAUUCUCUGGUUCUAAGUGUUCAGUGUGCAUGUUCUGUGUCUAAUAUGGCCCAACGCCUAUUUGCUCGAACCCGCCAAGUUGAAUCAUUGGCAGCUGAAAUGAUGAGUCUCAAAUAGGAGAUUAGAGGGCUCAAGCAUAAGAAUAAACAGUUGCACCAGCUCGCACAUGACUAUGCUACAAACAUGAAGAGGAAGCUUGACCAGAUGAAGGAAUCUGAUGGUCAGGUUUUACUUGAUCAUCAGCGGUUUGUGGGUUUGUUCCAAAGGCAUUUAUUGCCUUCGUCUUCUGGGGCUGUACCGCGUAAUGAAGCUCCAAAUGAUCAACCUUCGAUGCCUCCUCCUUCUAGGGUUCUGUCCAGUACUGAGGCUCUGAGUGAUCCCCCUCCGGUGCCUUCUCUUUCUGGGGCUCGACCGACUGCUGAGACUUCUCCUAAGCAACCUUUGUGAAGGCUCCCUCUUGUUUGUUUAUUUUGACUCAUGUAUAUGUACAUAUUUGUAACUUAUCGGAGAUAUCAAUAAAUAAGCUUUGCUUCAUUUCAAUGUAUUGUGUUAAAUACACCAAAGGUAUGAAAGGCACUUCAGGUGCAAUUUUGCUCCUACUUUCAACUUAUGAGGGCAAUUACUUUUUUAUGGGAAGACUUCAAAGGUUUCUUUUUCUUUGUUUAAAAGUAAUUGUGGAGUUAUCAAGAGGAAAUGGGUUAACAUUAUGUCAGAAUAGCGUCUCUAUCACCAUAUCUCAUGGAAAGACAAGAUACAAAAACUAAAAUCAAAGGCAACAGAAGCUUCAGCUUUCACCAGAAAAUCACUCGUAAAGAACUCAGAUUGUAAACAUUAAGCAAGAGAGGUGAAAGGUAAACUUAUGGUAAUUAAGGUGGUCCGUAUACCAAAUUUGAGGUGUAGGCGCAAAACUCGUAACUAGGCUAUUUAUAUAUAUAUUCUAUUCUCUUAGUCGGGUUUAAUAACUAUUUUCUUAUCCUUGUGGAUUAUUAUUUGCUAUAAUUAAUUCAUUUCCUUUUGGGAUUUUACUUUUAGAUUAUAUAACCACAUCAAUCUCUAUUACUCAACCCUAGUUCAGCCUAUAUGGAUAUUCAGAAUGCAAGACUAACUUUGAAUUUAUUUUUUCUUUCAGUUUGGGAUUUAGCUUUUUAUCUUCCCUCCCCUGUGCUGCAACAUACAAGACUAACUCUGUUCCUUUUAUAUAAAUCCAAUUACCAAAUAUAAAUCACAAAAUUUUAUGUACACUACCACUACACAUAUCAACCUCUAAAAAGAAAAGCAAGAAAUCAAGAAAGACCAAGGCUUGCUUUAGCCCUAUAGUUUAAUGUGACCAGAUAUUUGCAUAGGACUCUGGUUCUCCAUUCCAUGAUGGUUAGAUGCUGAAGUACUGGAAAGAACAGAAGUCGUCAUGUUUGAAAGAGAGGCAUGAUGCAUCUAUUUAAAAGUGUUGGUGACAACGAACAUGUGGUGGGAAGAUGGGACACACCUACUUGGCAAGAUAGCCAGGCAUAAAAAUUUCUAUUGACUAAGUCCAAUGCACAUCCAUGUUACAUUUUAAUACAAGAAGUCAUAUAUGGCAAAGAUAAAAUUCCAAAAUUAGACUACUUCCAUAGAGAGUCUAGACACCUACAUCUGGCAACCACAACAAAAUAAUAUAUUUACCAAGGUCAUCCAAAAAAAAAGUGUGCCCCAUAAAAACAUAUAAUAAAGACCAUUUUCAUAACAAAAUCAAAUUAAUGACAUAAAAAUGACAGUAUUACCUAUAAUACAAUAUGAUAAACAGACCGAAAUCACAUAAUACAAAAGUAAAAUAAGAAUAAAAUAAGAUUCCGUCCAAAAUGUGCACCUAUGAUAAUCUAGAUAUCAUGAAAGCACAUGCAUAAAAUCAGGAAAGUGCAUAAGUGCAAAAAUCGUACUCGAUGAUGUCUCAGCAAGGGGUCUCUGAGAUUGAUAUAACUGCUUUUGCUGAUCCAUUACAUUUUGAGCUUGAAGCAUGGUUCCUGAUAUCUGACCUGAUGCUUGAAGCCUUUGCUGCAUAUCUCGUUGCAGUGGAUUUGACUGCUGUUGCAAACCCAUUUGUUGCAUCUGUGGCUGUGAUUGAAUCUGUGACAUCAUUUGUUGCUGUGAUGCUUGCGGUUGUGACUGCUGUCCUUGAGUCGGUAACAUGUUAGAUGCAUUCGGAUGUUGUUGCUGCUGCACCUGAACCUUGGAUUGUUGCAACAAGUGUACAGAGUGCUGAUUUGGUUGCAUACUAGAAUUACCACUUUGAGUUCCAAGGUGCUGCUGUUGCUGUAAUCCGGUAACAUUACUCUGAGAGCCCAACUGUUGCUGAUGCAUAUUUGAAAGGUUGCUUUGCUGCUGUUGCUGUAACCCAGUAACAUUACUCUGCGGGCCCAAUUGUUGCUGAUGGAUAUUAGAAAGGUUGCUUUGCUGAGCCAUUAACUGCUGCUGCUGCUGCUGUUGUUGCUGUUGCUGCUGCUGCUGCUGCUGCUGUUGCUGUUGCUGUUGUUGCAGGUUUAAAAGAUUAUUCUGCUGGUUUAGUAACCUCUGUUGUUGCUGCUGCUGCAUAUCCCCGACAUUAGUUUGUUGUCCAAUCAUCUGAUUCUGGGACAAGUUUGAAGCAGUUGGCUGCUGCUGCUGCGGGGUUAAUAUUGGCUGUUGUGCCAUUGGUGUUUGCUGUUGAUGAACAGCUACCUGUUGAGGCUGCUGUUGCUGCCUGAGAACUGGCUGUGAAUGCUGCGGAAGCAUGGGUUGUGAUGACUGUUGCAUAGCAGAUUGUUGAUUCUGCUGGACAGAUGAUUGCACUGAAGGCUGCAUAACAGACGAUGUUGGCAUAACAGAUUGCUGGGAAGAUUGCAACUGAGUCGGUUGUAAAAGGUUCUGCUGCUGUUGCUGUUGCUGUUGCACAAGUUGUGGCAUAUUUCCCUGCUCAUAUUUUGGCUUCAAAAGCGAAUGUUGCAUCUGUUGAUGGUACAUAUACUGCUGGGAAUUCUGGGAAUUCUGGGAUUGCUGCGGCUGCUGCUGUUGGGGAGCUACCUGUUGCCUUCCUGGCAUUUGCCUUUGAGAAUUAGCAAAGACAUUGGAGGGUACCCCCUGGCCCAUGGAAUUCCCUAAUGAAUUCUGUGAACUUCCAGACAUAUUUUGCAUGUUUGGGUUUUGUCCACCUAUACUUGGGAUAGGAGUCUGGGUUAAACCGGAAGAAGGAGGUAGUGCAGAUGAUAAGCCAGACGAACUUUGAACUCCAGCAGGUGGAAUGUUAUUCUGAAUGCUCUGUGAUAAAAGUGGUUGGCGUCCUUGAGAUUGAUUAGCUGGUAACGGCAUAGAGAGUGAUUGCCCAUGAUUGGGGACUUGGGGUUGCAUACCUUGAUUGGGAACUUGGGGUUGCAUACCAAAAGACCCUAUUCAAGUAAAAUAGCAAGAAUAAACACCACAUAGCAAGCGUCAAAACAAGAAUACAAUAAAUGUCAUCCGGCGUGUUGUGUGACCGUCGUAGGCCACUGAAGCUCAAGGGAAAAUUUUAUAGGACGACAAUAAGGCCAGCGAUGUUGUAUGGCACAGAAUGUUUGGUGGUGAAGCAUCAACCCGUACACAAAAUGGGUGUAGCGGAGAUGAGGAUGCUUCGUGGGAUGUAUGGGCACACGAGAAAUGAUAAGAUUGGGAAUGAGGAUAUCCGAGGUAAAGUAGGAGUAGCCAAAAUUGAAGGAAAUAUGAGAGAAAAUCGGUUCCGGUGGUUUGGACAUGUGCAAAGAAGGCCUACUGACGCUCCGGUUCGAAAAUGUGACUACGGGACAGAGGUUCAGGACCGAAGGGGUAGAGGAAGACCUAGGAAAACUUUGAAAGAGACCCUAAGAAAAGACUUGAGUACUUGGAUCUAACGGAGGACAUGACACAAAACCGAGCGCAAUGGCGUUCUAGGAUUCAUAUAGCCGACCCCACUUAGUGGGAAAAGGCUUUGUUGUUGUUGUUGUUGUUGUAUUUGACCCAUUAAAUACAAGUGAAUAAAGAUAUCAAGAACGAAUCAUCUCAGUUAAGAAAUGCAGGAAUAAUUAAGAAAAAGAAAGUACGUUUCAUUAGUUGUUUUUACCCGGAUCAGGGGGCCUGUUGCUGUUACCCGCAGAGUUAGAUUGUAAAGGAUUGCCCAUUGAAUUCUGAGACUUGGUCUCCAUUGUGAGCAUCUUCAGAGAAAUUUUCCGUAGAUAAUCCGACUACAAAAUUAAAAAAUCCAUGCUAAAUUUAGAAUACAGUUCUAUCCAAAAUAUGAAGAAAGUUCAAGCAUAGACAACAUAUUUUUAAGAAGUCAUAUAUGUAAUAGAUAGGUAAGUAUUUAAGUACGCAAACAUUACAUGCACCAUAAGAAAUAAGAACUCUGGUAUUAUGGAAGCACCUGGCUUGUGGCUGCAGUAUAAAUCUUUUCCUCAAACCUUACAGCAAUUUUACUGAGUUCCUGUAAUCCAUCUUGUCCGGAGAAGGGAAGAUGCCUCUUCAACGUAUCCAUUCUAUACAUGCAAUAAAACCAACAUCAGUUACAGACUACCAAAAUGGGGGUAGCGUUCAUAAUAGCAAAGCUGGAUUAGACUACCGCUUGAAACAAAAAAAGUUCAACAAAGAAAAACACUUACAUCUUGUUGACAAUUCUUUGCCUCGAAUCAGCCUGCAGCUGACUCCUCCAAUCGCCGGCAUCCAUGGCAGCCUCUCCAACUUGAGAAGGCCUCCACUUAUUGGUAUCCAUCAAAUCCAAUCAACCCAACAAAACUGCCAAAAACAAAAGUACAGGACUGAGCAACUUCAACGAAAACCUACGAAAAGGGCACAAAAAAUUCGUACAAGAGCUAGCUAUUCGGACGACGAUACAGUUUAUAAUUACGCAGGCAUUUUUUUUGCAUCAGAAAUUGCAUUCAUUCAAGCUGAUUCUAAACACGAUUUAGGCGCCAUGAAAAAUCAAAACUUGCAAUUCAAUUCACAUACAACCGAAAACCAGAUACAAUUUACACAAUCAGAUCACAAAAACACCAACAAUAACGAAUUUUCCACAAAACCCACGAUCGAUCAACAUCUAAAACAAAAAACCCAACAAAAAUUGACCAAAAAGUUACCUCUUUUCUUUCAGAACAGGAGAGUUGAAGAUUGAAAGGUUCAGGUUGCCUGGAGUCAAACAAUGGAGAAAUUGCAGAACAGGGAAAUCGGGGGAUUGGGAAAGGAAGGAGGGUUCUUGCUCAAAAGCUUCAAACUUUGACAAGAUUUAAUGGAUUGAUGUGUUAGUAGGAAGGGAGAGCAACGAAAUAUCCUGUUUUAACCAAUGUCUGAUUUUUUUUUAGGUUUUUUUUUUAAAUUUGAAUUUUUCAGGGACAAAAAGACAAUAAAACCAUUGGCCUUAGGAAUUUAUAAGUUGCCACUUACCACUUUAUCCUAAUCCUAGGCUUUCUUGUCAAAUACCAAUUGGAUAGGAAUAUUUCCAACUGAGUCAAAAGAACAAAGUAGUCUUAUUUAUAACUAGCUUCUUGGUACGCGCUCAAAUGCGCGAAUUAACUUUUAAACGUCAAUUAAUGUAUUAGCAUUUCAUUAGUUUUACGUCUUAUAUCAUCACUUUGAAACUUAUUUAUUUGUACUAAAUAAGAAACUACUAUAUAUAGUUGGUGUAAUAAGUUUGUGUCUUUAGCAUUAUUGAUGUAAAUAGACUGAUUUUCUUAUAUUCUUUUAUUUUAAAUUUAUUAGUUAUAUAACUUUACACUUUAUUGCUUUUCAAUGAAGACAGAACAAGGAGGAGAUCAAUUAUUCCUCAAUUAAUCUACUUCAUUAUUCCUCAAUCUGCUUCUUGACCAUUUUGGUAUUAGAUUCCAUAUAGUAAAGCGUCAUGUAACUUUCAUUUUCAUGUGUUAAUAAAUGUAAGAAUCUAAAUGAUUUUGCAUGUGAUUGGCAUGAAAUCCAAAUGUCCUCUUUAGUUCAAUAUAACAACCUCUUGUCCCGCGAGAUUUUGAAACCAUUACCUCCUCUGACGACAGGGCCGGUCUAGAGAUUUUUGAGGCCCGGGACGACGUAAAAAAAAGUGCCCUAACUUCAUGUAAGAAAAUUAUUUAUCUUCACACAUAAGACAUCGAAAAAAUUAUACUUAGAAAAACACUUCAAACUUAAUAAUUUAGAAACACAUAAAAACUAAUUUAUUUUGUAUUGAGAGAGGGAAACAAAAAAACUUCGGGCUUACAAGAAGAUAGAUGAUGAGUUUUGUUUUCCAUUUGAACUUUGAAUGUGUUUUUGAAUAAAUCGUGAUGUGUUUUUUUUCUUAUUUACUAACCUUGUCAAUAUGGGACUAAAAAAUAAUGAUGUUUUCGAGUUUUACUAAAUUAAACAUUUUGAUGACACGUCAUAUAAUUUGCAAAUUUGGUAUACGUAAUAUUCUUUGUUGAAGAUUAGACUUGAAUUAAAACGAAUAUUUAAAAAUAACAACCCACAUAGCUACUAGAUAGUAACUAAAUAUAAAUUACCAACCAAACAAAAAUUUGUAAAAAUUGAAAAGAAUAAACAUGCACAUAGCAUUUCGAACUUAGGACCUCUUGUUAAUUUUAACAACAAAAAUCAUUGUUUCUAAUUAAACUUCUUUAUCCUUUAACCAAAUUUUCUAAAUUUAUACUCUUAUAAAACGAAAUUUGUAAAAAAAAGGAAAGUAAAUAAGCACACAUGAUGUUUUGAACACAAGACCUCCUUAUUAUUUUUAAAUGACAAACCACCACUUCUAGUUAAAUUUCUGUGUCUUUGAAUCAAAUUUUAUAAAUUUAUACUCUUAUAAAAACAUAUAUAAAUAUAUCGCCCUAAUAAUUUUGGUGCCCCUAAUUUUUUUGGGCCCUGGACGGUCGCCCCUUCUGCACUGGGCCUGGGCCGGCCCUGUCUGACGAAAUGGAGAUCAAAAACCCAUUAGUACAAAGGUAGAAUACAACCAAACUCUAGGUAUAGCAAUUUUUGUUCUCUCUAACAAAAGCCAACAAAUGCAGAUGACGCUUUACCAUAGUGACGAAAAACAAUUAUGUCUACGCACCCCAACCAACCUCCUCACCCCUAACAAAGGCCAAUACAUUGAUAUCGUCUACCCUUCUAAAGUCAUCACAUUUUUAUUCAGAGAAUGGAGGAGAGAAGCUGAAGUAGCGUAUGAGGCCACGAGAACAUGGAAAUUCAGACCAAAGGAGCAUAAAAACCAUAUGGAAAAGAUGAUGAUGCAUGUGGAACAAUUGACAAACUUGAUAGAAAAGAUGUGAUGGGCAAACACGACGCCUUUUCAGGUUGGAGGGGGCCUUUGUGGUCUGAGAGAGAGAGAGGGAGAGAGAGAGAGAGAGAGCUCCUCUAAUUCAAUCAUAUAAAAGUAAAACUGAUGAUAAAUCAUUCCAAACACACAAAUAACGUUAUAAAAAUGCAGUCUCUUUAAUUAAUUAUUGACAAAUAGCUUGAAAUCUUUCAAAAUGCGGUCCAUUCAUUUUGCGGUUGCGGUUGUGAUUUCUUCGUUUUGUUGAAGCUCGCCCAGCCUCUCAACAACGGUGCAAUCCACUUUACAUAUGAGGAGGUGGGGGGAGCUGCCCUUGUUGCAGAGGAGGACCUUGCUUCCUCGGUCUAUUUGUAUUAAUAAAAUUUACUAUCUGCUUCUCAUACAUACCCAACUUCUCUUUCAAACCAGAUGUAAUGCUACUCUUGGGAAUCUGUAAGACUGAUAUGAGGCGCUCCAACAUGGUUUUGAACAUUUUUAGCUUCUCAAGCUGCUCUGACUUUGGUUGUUGUGGAAGAGAAUCGUGCUGGCAAACAGAAAGAACAGACGUCAGUAAGCAAAAGAAUGGCAAUAUAAGGAGUAACAACUUUGUCGCGAAAUCUUAUUAGCAUUAUUGGUGAGGUAACAAUCCCAAUUAGACAGUCUACAUGGGUACAAUAAUUAAAAGGGAGAUCAAGGUAGAAUCCAUCAAAGAGCAGCACCACAAUAACCUAGCAGGGAAAGCCCCGCUUAUUGCUAAAAGUUCAAGCAACAAAUUAUGAGAGAAGAAAAAAUUGAAUUGAUUACAUACCUGCUGAAGUUUAGUAGCAAUUUUCUGAUACAUUUCACUUAGUUCGGGUACGUACCUUUCCUUCAUGACUUUGAUCUGCAAAUGAAAGUUAUAAAUACAAAGAUGAUUAGAAAGAACUUUGCUGCAGCUACAUGCUUGCCGAUACUCAUGAAUUCAGACAGCAUGAAUUCAUGUAUGCUUGUAUCUAAUGAAGCAAGUUUUAAUUAACUCCCAACCGAUGGUAGCUUAACAAAGCUGCCCCACAAGGAAUCUUAACUAGCAUGUAAUUUCUUCAAAAUCCCCAUUCAAGGCAAUUUUGGCAUUAGUAUAAUUAUUUUCCAGUAGCUCUAUUCCCACCCCCACGCCAAAUAAUUUGUGUUUUUAUAUUUAGAUGUUGUAUGUGAAAGCCAUCAAAUGGACAAGAAGUCAGGACAUCUUACUUUUUGAUAGACCUCCUCUUGCCAAUCACCCCCAUUUGCAUAUCCAGUCUGAGCUGAGGAAUCUAGAGAAGCUACAAAAUAUAGAGAGAUAUAUAUGUCAAUGUUUGCACAUAAAAUGAAAUUUGAACACGAGGGUUAAAAAUGAGAAAGAAAAAAAAAAGCAUUGCAUGGAAAACAUUGAUAUGGAAAAUUAUCCUUCCCAAACAGUUGAGGUGCAAUUUUGCUCCUACUUUCUGCUUAUGACAGCAAUUACAUUUUUAUGGGAAGACUUCAGGUGCAAUUUUGCCCUUGAUUGGGGACUUGGGGUUGCAUACCGAAAGACCCUACUCAAGUAAAUAGCGAGAAUAAACACCAUAUCAAGAAUAAACACCAUAUAAACAAGCAUCAAAACAAGAAAACAAUAAAUGUCAUUUGUACUCAUCAUUUGAUCCAUUAAAUACAAGCGAAUAAAGAUAUCAAGAACGAAUCAUCUCAGUUAAGAAAUGCGGGAGUAAUUAAGAAAAAGAACGAACAUUUCUCGCAACAGAUCAACCAUCAAGAAGAAAGGUAGCCAAGAGAGAAAAGGGCAGUUUUCAAUAGUUGUUUUUACUGUUACCAGCAGAGUUAGAUUGUAAAGGAUUGCCCAUUGAAUUCUGAGACUUGGUCUCCAGUGUGAGCAUCUUCAGAGAAAUUUUCCGUAGAUAAUCCGACUACAAAAUAAAAAAAUCCAUGCUAAAUUUAGAAUACAGUUCUAUCCAAAAUAUGAAGAAAGUUCAAACAUAUACAACAUUUUUUUAAGAAGUCAUAUAUGUAAUAGAUAGGUAAGUAUUUAAGUACACAAACAUUUCAUGCACCAUAAGAAAUAAGAACUCUGGUAUUAUGGAAGCACCUGGCUUGUGGCUGCAGUAUAAAUCUUUUCCUCAAACCUUACAGCAAUUUUACUGAGUUCCUGCAAUCCAUCUUGUCCGGAGAAGGGAAAAUGCCUCUUCAACGUAUCCAUUCUAUACAUGCAAUAAAAUCAACACCAGUUACUGACUACCAAUAUGUUUUAAGUUUGAAGUCCUCCCGCCAUAGUUUAGAUUAGAUUACGCUAAAUUAGACUACCGCUUGAAACAAAAAAAAGAAUCGACAAAGAAAAACACUUACAGAUUGUUGACAAUUCUUUGCCUUGAAUCAGCCUGCAGCUGACUCCUCCAAUCGCCGGCAUCCAUGGCGGCCUCUCCAACUUGAGAAGGCCUCCACUUAUUGGUAUCCAUCAAAUCCAAUCAACCCAACAAAACUGCCAAAAACAAAAGCACAGGACUGAGCAACUUCAACGAAAACCUACGAAAACGGCACAAAAAUUCGUACAAGAGCUAUUCGAACGACGAUACAGUUUAUAAUUACGCAGGCAGUUUUUUUGCUUCAGAAAUUGCAUUCAUUCAAGCUGAUUCUAAACACGGUUUAGGCGCCAUGAAAAAUCAAAACUUGCAAUUCACAUACAAUCGAAAACCAGAUACGAUUUACACAAUCAAAUCAAAAAAAAAAAAAACAAUAACGAAUUUCCCACAAAACCCACGAUCGAUCAACAUCUAAAACAAAAAACCCAACAAAAUUUGACCAAAAAGUUACCUCUUUUGUUUCAGAACAGGAGAAUUGAAGAUUGAAAGGUUCAGGUUGCCUGGAGUGAAACAACGGAGAAAUUGCAGAACUGGGAAAUCGGGGGAUUGGGAAAGGAAGGAGGGUUCUUGCUCAAAAGCUUCAAACUUUGACAAGAUUGAAUGGAUUGAGGGGAUGGUUUGGGAGUGACAUAAAAAAAAAAAGCACCAUGAAAAAAAGUGCGAGAGUUUUAGGUGUUUGGUAAACUGAAGAAAAAAAAGCUUAUUUUGGAAGCUGAUGUGAGAAUAAGCUGAAAUUAAAAGAAAAAGCUGAAGCUGCUAUUUGCAGCUUUGGAAAACUGGCAUUUUUUCAAAACACACAGAGCUAGAGUGCUCUUUUAAUGAAAAGACCCACUAUCAGAUUGUUUUUUUUUUUUUUCAAAAGCACUUUUACAAAAAAGUUUACCAAACACUCUACUGAUUUAUUUCACAGCUGCUUAUUCUCACAACAACUUUUUUUUCAAAGCACAGCAAUAUCAGACCAGCCCUGAUGCGUCUGAUGUGGUCUUUUUAGUUAAGUAGGAAGGGAGAGACAACAAAUAUCCCGUUUUAACCAAUGUCUGAUUUUUUAGGUUUUUUUUUAUAGAAAAACUAAUGAAAAGCGUCUGAAAUGUUUUAGUUUUAAUAAAAAAUCAUGUUAUAAGUUUUGUUUAAUGAUUAGUAUAAAACUCAUAUUAAAGUAGUCCAACUAAAAAUGGUCUAACUAUAAUAACUUAUUAUUUGUUGAUUUUACCUUUAACUUUUUUAGGUUGACUUUCAGAUUUUCGUCGUUAAUGAAGUUCAUCGUUGUUUUGCAGACUUUCUUCUUUUUCUUUGAAACAAAAAUAUAGAUCCUCAUGCAAGUUAAUUUAUAUUUUGUAUUAUUUUGUUGAAACGUGAUUGUUGUUAUUAUUCAUAAAGUAUUCGAAAUAUUGUUUUUCAAUUUUUCUUUGUUAGUGGAGUUCAUCGUUUGUUUUUACAAAAAAAAAUUUGAGAUCUGCAUGUUAUUCAAUAAUAACGAUGGUCAGUGUUUCUGGACUGUAAAAAUAAACUGUUUCUGGAUUUUAAGUAACACUGUUUCUGGAUCUAAAUGAAAUAGACACACUGUUUCUUAAAUGAAAGCUAGAAAAGAAAUAGUGAAAUUCAUUGUAUUUGAAUUCAAAGAAAAAUAAGCAUCAUGUUUUUUAAAUAUAAUCAACUGAUGCAUGCAAGAAAAGAAACAAUCAAAGGUUAAAACAUAGACUGUUUCUGGAAUUUAAAGCACUGUUUUUUGAAUUUAAGUCAUUGUUUAUGGAUUUUGGUUCUUUUAUUUUCAGAUAGAGUGUUUGUUUGUGCACAGAAAAAACAAAAAAUGUAUCUGAUUUUUUUUUUCCAAAAAUAGUGUUAUGUUUUGGGUUCUCCAGAAACAGUUUUAUGUUUUGGUUUUUUUUUUCCUAUUUACAAACGCCUGACAUGUAUGUACAUCACCGGGACCGUAGGUCCUUAUUGGAUCUGAUUGGAAUAAAAUACUAACACUAUAAAUUGUUCGUGGUGCAGAUAAGAGGAUGAGGAUGAGGACGAUGACGAGGACAAGGAGGAUAAGGGCACGAAAAAGGUAGACAAUAGUUUUGGAUGAUUUUUUAUUAAACUUUGAGCCCUUUUGGUUAAAUAAUAUUUUAGGAUGAUUUUUGGUUAAAUAUUUGUUGGCCCAAAUCAUUUUCAUUAAAGCUCCAUUUUUUUAUUUAUGUUUGAAAUUUGAAUUUUUUAGGGACAAAAUGACGAUAAAACCAUUGUCCUUAGGACUUUAUAAGUUGCCACUUACCACUUUAUCCUAAUCCUUCUAGGCUUUCUAGUCAAAUCCCAAUAGGAUAGGAAUAUUUCCGACUGUGUCAAAAGAACAAAGUAAUCUUCUUUAUAACUAGCAUCUCGGUAUGCGCUUAAAUGCGCGAAUUGACUUUUAAACACCAAUUAAUGUGUUGGCAUUUCAUUAGUUUUAUGUUUUAUAUCAUCACUUUGAAACUUAUUUAUUUGUACUAAAUAAGAAAUUGCUAUAUAUAGUUGGUGUAAUAAGUUUGUGUCUCUAACAUUAUUGAUGUAAAUAGACUGAUUUUCUUAUAUUUUUUUAAUUUUUUAUUUAUUAAUUAUAUAACUUUACACUUUAUUGCUAUUCAAAGAAGACAGAACAAGGAGGAGAUCAAUUAUUCCUCAAUUAAUCUACUUCUUGACCUUUUUGGUAUUAAGUUACAUAUAGUAAGCAUCACGUAACUUUUAUUUUCAUGUGUUAAUAAAUGUAAGAAUCCAAAUGAUUUCGUGGUUGGCAUGAAAUCUUCAAUAUAACCUCUUGUCCCAUGAGAUUUGAAACCAUUACAUCAUCCGACAAAAUGGAGAUCCAAAAACCAUUAGUACAAAGGUAGAAUACAACCAAACUCUAGGUAUAGCAAUAUUUUUUUCUCUCUAACAAAAGCCAAUACAUGCAGAUGACGCUUUAUCAUAGUGACGAAAAACAAUUAUAUCCAUGCACCCCAACCAACCUCCUCACCCCUAACAAAAGCCAAUACAUUGAUAUCCUCUACCCUUAUAAAGUCAUCACAUUUUUAUUCAGAGAAUGGAGGAGAGAAGCUGAAGUAGCAUAUGAGGCCAUGAGAACAUGUUCAACAUGGAAAUUCAGACCAACGAAGCAUAAAAACCAUAUGGCAAAGAUGAUGAUGCAUCUGGAACAAUUGACAAACUCGAUAAAAAAGAUGUGAUGUGCAAACACGACGCCCUUUCAGGUUGGAGGGGGCCUUUGUGGUCUGAGACUCGGUCUCCAUUGUGAAGUCACGGCCCAGGAUCAUGGAAGUACCUGGACUGUGGCUGCAGUAUACUAAUAAGAGAGAGAGAGAGAGAGAGAGAGAGAGCUCCUCUAAUUCAACCAUAUAAAAGUAAAACUGAUGAUAAAUCAUUCCCAUAGUCAUACAAUAAAAGUAAAUAACAUUUCUACUGUUCCAAACACACAUACAACGUCAAAAAAAUGCAGUCUCUUUAAUUAAUUAUUGGCAAAUAGCUAGAAAUCUUUCAAAAUGCGGUCCAUUCAUUUCGCGAUUGCGGUUGCGGUUUCUUCGUUUUGUUGAAGCUCGCCAGCAUCUCUACAAUGGUGCAAUCCACUUUACAAUGCACUGUGCAGUGCCCAUUGCACUUCCUUUUCCACUGCCCUGGCAUUAUCAGCAGAAUCCGCAUAUGUUUGACAAUAUUUUUCCGCGUAUGUUGCAAAUGAUAUAAAUUCUUCAGGCGUCACAUCCUUCUUGCCCUUGUUUCUUCUUCUGGCAGCAGCAGUGGCGGGAGUAGCAGCACCACACCGAUGACAACGCCCAGCCUUCCACCUCACAGCAGCAAACAGAUGCACUCAAUGCAUCUGAGCCAAUGUCACUGACAGAUGCACUCAAUGCAUUAGGUGACAUCGAUUUCACCUGCAAGUUCAAAAUCCAGAAAUUUAAUUUAAGCACAAGUGAGGGAAGGAAAAGACCAACUUAGAUGCUAAGUACUGAAACAUCAUUACAGCACUCAAAAAGAGAAAUAUGUAAUAAGAACCACUUUACUAACCGCGUUCAAGAG